rnacentral:lncRNA from 1 species
CUCGCCCAGCUCAACCGGGGCGCAAUCGCAGUGGUUCUCCCAGUGCUACCUUAGCCGAUAGAACGGAACGUAAGGUACCAAAACAUGGGAGCCGGGCAAACCCAACUAUUGACCCAAGACAUGAUUCGGAGCCGAUGCAUAUAGUGCUAUAAGUUUGGGGUGCCGCACUUGUGAAAGUGUUCGGAUUUAUCACACCAUAAUGCGGGGAACAUAAGCCCCUGGUGUAUUCGGCCGUACCAAAGUGUACAGAUGCAAGAUGUCAUAAAUGAACAUGUAAAAAGAGGAAUGCAGUUAUAAACAAAAAGUGAUGCAUUGUUUAUUCAAGGAAUUCUGCUAUGAGUGCAGAACGAUACAAAUAGUGCGGUAAGCAAGGGUUUGGACUAUUAGACAUGUCCCCCUCCAGGGGUAGGCUGCGGAAUGGUGUAUUAAACAGAUUUAAUGCUCAUAAUGGAGACCACCUGAGUGUUCGACGUAGCCAUUGUCCCUCCCUGGCUGUUGCAUCGUGAGUUCGGCAGAUCUACUGCCUUACAGGGCCUCUGGUAAACGGAGUCCUGUGGAAAAAAGAGAAGAAAAGAAAGAAAGAAAAAAAAGGUGACACACGUGGGAGCCCCUGGUGUGGUUGAGCCACACUCCGGGUCUGUCGUGGUCGUGCCCCUCCCCCUAUGCCCAUGGUAUCUUCAGAGCAUAGUGAUGUACACGAAGAGCUCGACUUGCAAUCAUGCAAGGGCUGGGGUUGGGGCCGCAUUGCUACGCGUGCUCGGAACGUGCUAGGUGGUCUUGAUGUAUGUUACUCCGGGCGCGUUUAGUCAUGUCCGGUCGUUUAACGGCCAGACUCGAGGAUUGCCUUAAGAGGCUGCUCUGUACUUCUGCCGCGAGAGCCGCUGUGUGUUCCUCCGUUCGGAGGGAGCGUUUAGUGUUUCCGUUGACCGUGAUGACUCCACGAGGGCCUGGCAUCUUGAGCUUGAGGUAUGCAUAAUGCGGCACCGCGUUGAACUUUGCAAACGCUGUUCGUCCGAGCAGAGCGUGAUAGCCACAGCGGAACGGGACUAUGUCGAAGAUUAACUCCUCGCUUCGGAAAUUAUAGGGGAUCCGAAGACCACUUCCAGUGUGACUGAGCCUGUACAAUUGGCCUCAAUACCUGGUAUGACGCCUUUGAAGGUCGUCUUCGUAGGUUUAAUCCUUGAGGGGUCUAUGCCCAUCUUGCGCACUGUAUCCUGAUAAAGCAGGUUCAGGCUGCUGCCACCAUCCAUCAGGACUCUAGUGAGGUGAAAUCCAUCGACGAUUGGGUCUAAAACCAAUGCGGCGAAUCCGCCAUGGCGGAUACUGGUGUGGUGGUCCCUUCGAUCGAAAGUGAUCGGGCAGGAGGACCAUGGGUUGAAUUUCGGGGCGACUGGCUCCAUCGCAUAUACGUUCCUAAGUGCACGCUUCCGCUCCCUCUUGGGUGUGUGGGUUGCGUAUAUCAUGUUUACUGUCCGCACUUGUGGGGGGAAGCCCUUCUGUCCUCUACUGUUCGGCGGCCGGGUUUCUUCCUCGUCAUCGCUUUGCAGCCCCUUGUCAUUGUUUUCGGCAAUUAACUUGCUUGCCUGCUUGAAUACCCAACAAUCCCUGUUGGUGUGGUUAGCUGGCUUUCAGGGGUGCCAUGUAUCUGGCAAGAGCGGUCGAGUAUUCGGUCCAAAUUGGACGGACCCGGAGUAGUUCUUUUGAAUGCCUUUUUCCGCUGACCGGGUUUAGAGCCUCUGAAUCCGGCGUUGACUGCCGUAUCCUCAGUGUUAUCACCGUUAACGCGACAUUUGUUUUUGUUGCGACGUGACCUGCCAUUGCGGUCCUUGUUGUCCGGACUGCCAGAAUUUUUGCUGAGGUUGUUACUGCGAGCUAGCCAGCUGUCCUCUCCCGCAUAGAAGCGGGUCAUGAGUGAUGUGAGGGCUGCCAUGGAUUUUGGCUUUUCCUGUCCUAGGUGCCGGGCCAGCCACUCGUCGCAGAUGUUAUGUUUGAAGGCUGCGAGGGCCUCUGCAUCCGAACAUUCGACGAUUUGAUUUUUCUUUGUGAGGAACCGUGUCCAGAGUUGUCUGGCCGAUUCGUCUGGCUGCUAAAUUAUGUGGCUUAGGUCAUUGGCGUCUGGUGGUCGCACAUAUGUGCCCUGGAAGUUGUCAAGGAAUGCGGCUUCCAGGUCCUCCCGACACCCAAUUGAUUCUGCUGGCAAGCUAUUAAGCCAAUGCCGAGCUGGCCACUUAAGCUUGAGUGGGAGAUACUUGAUGGCGUGGAGAUCGUCACCGCGGGCCAUAUGGAUAUGAAGGAGAUAAUCUUUGAUCCAAACCGCGGGGUCUGUUGUGCCAUCGUAGGAUUCAAUGUUCACGGGUUUAAACCCUUCAGGGAUUUGAUGAUCCAUUACUUCGUCUGUGAAGCAUAGUGGGUGUGCGGUGCCUCUAUAUUGAGCGAUAUCACGACGUAGCUCAAGAGAGCUUUGUCUGCUGUGUUCGGCCCGGCCGGAGUUGCUGUAUCUAAUGCGACGGUAGUCCUCGUGGGUCGUGGGGCGCCCACGUGAUCCAUAGAUAGAUCUGGAUUGUCUUGCCUUGUCCUCCAAUAUAUCCCGCAAGUCCGGCACAUUCCCCUGUGGCUUCGCACUUUUCGAGCGGUGCCGGGGUACGGUUCUGGCGGAGGGCCUAGAUGCCUCUCUGUCGCGGCCACGAGGUGGUCGGUCUGCCGUAUUGUGCGCUGGUGAUGAAGGUUUGUAUGCUUCCUCCUCUAGUAGGGGGAGCAACUUGCGUUUUGGGUAGCUUUUGGAGGGGCGUUCGAGUUCAUACUCUUCCGCUGCGAGGACCUCGGUCCAUCUGUCGGCCAGCAGGUCUUGAUCAGCUCGAAGCUGUUGCUGCUUUUUCUUUAGGCUGUUCGCCGUGGCCAUUAGCCUACGUUUAAAACGCUCUUGUUCGACGGGAUCCUCGGGCACGACGAUUUCGUCGUCGUUGAGGCUUGCCUCGUCUCCGGAGGGAGGCAUGUAAUUUUCAUCCUCCUCGUCUGCCGCUCUCUCUUGAGGGCUGGCUUCCCCGUCCUCCUGUGCUGAAUCUCGAUAGAGGGGGUCGUCUUUGGCACUCUCUAGGGUGUUAUUAUCUCCGGUGCCGGAAUCUCCAUUCUUGCUGUGGCGGGAUUAAGAGCGGCGCCGCUGACGUCGGCACUUGGGCUGUUUCUUAGAGGAAUCUGCCUCCGCUGCUACUUCACCGUCCCGAUCCUUUGGGGUGUCUACCAUGUAUAUGUCGUAUGACGAGGUGGUCUUCUAGUGCUCGUAGGUGCUGGUUCUUGUUCGUCUCCGGCAUCGUCGUCCAUACCGUCGAUGUCUUCGGAGUCGAAGUCUAGCAUGUCGGUUAGAUCGUCGACAGUGGCUACAAAGUGGGUGGUGGGUGGGCUUCAAAUUUCUUCGUCGUCCACAUCCCAACCAUCCUGACCAUAGUCUGGCCAGGGCUCUCCUGAUAACGAGAGAUACUUUAGCGAAUUCAGGAUGUCGCCAAAGGGUGAGUGUUGAAAGAUGUCCGCAGCGGUGAACUCCAUGAUCGGCGCCCAAUUGGAUUCGAUCGGCAGGGGCGCAGGAGGUUCGGAGUCCAGCAAGGAGUCCGGCACCUCGGAGUCACGAGCUUUGCAAAGAACAAGGUCGGUAUUCGGCUCCAUCACCGUGGAAGUUGCAGCCUCCGAGGCGGUGUCCAGCCACCUGUCCUCGAUCUGCGCGGUCGGCUCCGAACUGUGGGUCGGAGCGGAUUCGUGUGCGGCCUCCAAGGUACUGUCCGGCGGCAGAGCUAGGUCAUGCCCAUCGUGACAGUGCGGCACGCUCGGAUGUGGCUCGAAUCCAUCGAAGAUCAAGUCUCCGCGGAUGUCAGCCGUGAAGUUUAGGCUUCCAAAUCUGACCUGAUGGCCAGGGGUGUAGCUUUCGAUCUGCUCCAGACGGCCAAGUGAAUUGGCCCGCAGUGCAAAGCUGCCGAACACGAAGAUCUGUCCGGGGAGAAAAGUCUCACCCUGGACGGCGUUGUUGAUUGAAGAAGCCAUCAAGCCUAUUGGUGACGACACAGAGGAACUCUCAAUGAAAGCACCAAUGUCGGUGUCAAAACCGGUGGAUCUCGGGUAGGGGGUCCCGAACUGUGCGUCUAGGUGGAUGGUAACAUGAGACAAGGGACACGAUGUUUUUACCCAGGUUCGGGCCCUCUCGAUGGAGGUAAAACCCUACUCCUGCUUGAUUGAUAUUGAUGAUAUGGGUAGUACAAGAGUGGAUCUACCACGAGAUCAAGGAGGCUAAACCCUAGAAGCUAGCCUAUGGUAUGAUUGUUGUAAUGGUUGUUCGUCCUACGGACUAAAACCCUCCGGUUUAUAUAGACACCGGAGAGGGCUAGGGUUACACAGAGUCGGUUACAAUGGUAGGAGAUCUACAUAUCCGUAUCGCCAAGCUUGCCUUCCACGCCAAGGAAAGUCCCAUCUGGACACAGGACGAAGUCUUCAAUCUUGUAUCUUCAUAGUCUUGGAGUCCGGCCGAUGAUGAUAGUCCGGCUAUCCGGACACCCCCUAGUCCAGGACUCCCUCAGUGGGGCAGUAAGCUGGUGCAGUUGCAAGCAGAGCAUCGUGGCCGGAUCUACAUGUGAAGCAGAGUACAUGGCAGCCUCGGAGGCAGCACAUGAAGCAAUCUGGGUGAAGGAGUUCAUCACCGACCUAGGAGUCAUACCCAAUGCGUCGGGGCCGAUUACACUCUUCUGUGACAACACUGGAGCUAUUGCACUUGCCAAGGAGCCCAGGUUUCACAAGAGACCUGGCAUAUCAAGCGUCGCUUCAACUCCAUCCGUGAAAAUGUUCAAGAUGGAGACAUAGAUAUUUGUAAAUUGCAUACGGACCUGAAUGUAGCAGAUCCGUUGACUAAACCUCUCCCUAGGGCAAAACAUGAUCAACACCAGAACGCAAUGGGUUCGAUUCAUCACAAUGUAACUAGAUUAUUGACUCUAGUGCAAGUGGGAGACUGUUGGAAAUAUGCCCUAGAGGCAAUAAUAAAAUGGUUAUUAUUAUAUUUCUGUGUUCAUGAUAAUUGUCUAUUAUUCAUGCUAUAACUGUGUUAUCCGGAAAUCGUAAUACACGUGUGAAUACAUAGACCACAACAAGUCCCUAGUGAGCCUCUAGUUGACUAGCUCAUUGAUCAACAGAUAGUCAUGGUUUCCUGACUAUGGGCAUUGGCUGUCAUUGAUAACGGGAUCACAUCAUUAGGAGAAUGAUGUGAUGGACAAGACCCAAUCCUAAGCAUAGCUCAAAGAUCGUGUAGUUCGUUUAGCUAGAGCUUUUCCAAUUGUCGAGUAUCAUUUCCUUAGACCAUGAGAUUGUGCAACUCCCGGAUACCGUAGGAGUGCUUUGGGUGUACCAAACGUCACAACGUAACUGGGUGGCUAUAAAGGUGCACUACGGGUAUCUCCGAAAGUGUCUGUUGGGUUGGCACGAAUCGAGACUGGGAUUUGUCACUCCGUAUGACGGAGAGGUAUCUCUGAGCCCACUCGGUAAUGCAUCAUCAUGAUGAGCUCAAUGUGACCAAGUGUCUGGUCACGGGAUCAUGCAUUACGGUACGAGUAAAGUGACUUGCCGGUAACGAGACUAAACGAGGUAUUGGGAUACCGACGAUCGAGUCUCGGGCAAGUAACGUACCGAUUGACAAAGGGAAUUUAAUACAGGGUUGAUGGAAUCCUCGACAUCGUGGUUCAACUGAUGAGAUCAUCGAGGAGUAUGUGGGAGCCAACAUGGGUAUCUAGAUCCCGCUGUUGGUUAUUGACUGGAGAGGCAUCUCGGUCAUGUCUGCAUAUCUCUCGAACCCGUAGGGUCUACAAACUUAAGGUUCGGUGACGCUAGGGUUGUAGAGAUAUUAGUAUGCAGUAACCCGAAAGUUGUUCGGAGUCCCGGAUGAGAUCCCGGAUGUCACGAGGAGUUCCGGAAUAGUCCGGAGGUAAAGAUUUAUAUAUAGGAAGUCCAGUUUCGGCCACCGGGAAAGUUUCGGGGGUCACCGGUAUUGUACCGGGACCACCGGAAGGGUCCCGGGGGUCCACCGGGUGGGGCCAGCUAUCCCGGAGGGCCCCAUGGGCUGAAGUGGUGUGGGAACCAGCCCCUAGUGGGCUGGUGCGCCCCACCCAAGGGCCCAAGGCGCCUAGGGUUGGAAACCCUAGGGGGCCGUUGCCCCCCGAGGGGGCAUGCGCCCCCCUGGUUGGAAACCCUAAGGGGGCCGUUGCCCCGGGGGCCGCCGCCCCUCCUCUAGAUGGGAUCUCCAAGGGGGCAUGCGCCCCCCUAGCCCCUAUAUAUAGUGGAAGGGAGGAAGGGCAGUCGCACCCUGCAUCUUGGCGCCUCCCUUCCCCCUUGCUAUACCUCCUCCUCCCGCAGACGCUUGGCGAAGCCCUGCCGGAUCUCUGCUGCAUCCACCACCACGCCGUUGUGCUGCUGGAUCUUCAUCAACCUCUCCUUCCCCCUUGCUGGAUCAAGAAGGAGGAGACGUCACGCUGACCGUACGUGUGUUGAACACGGAGGUGUCGUCCGUUCAGUGCUAGGAUCUCCGGUGAUUGGAUCACGACGUGUACGACUACCUCAACCCUGUUCUCUUGAACGCUUCCGCUCGUGAUCUACAAGGGUAUGUAGAUGCUAUCUUCUCUCUCGUUGCUGGAUGAACUCAUAGAUUGAUCUUGGUGAACGUAGGAAAUUUUUUAUUUUAUGCAACGUUCCCCAACAACAUGUCCGGAGCAGGAGGUAAGUGGGUGGCCUCCACCGUGAAGGAGGAGCAUAUUGCGAAGCUCCGGGCGGCCGGAUACUUGGCCGCAGACAUCGCGCACCGGCUACCGGAUGAAGGGCAGAUCAUUCCGACUCUGGAACCCCACGAGAGGGUCGUGUUUCUCGCCCACUUCGUCCGUGGACUGGGAUUUCCACUUCAUCCCUUCGUCUACGGGCUCAUGUUCUACUACGGGCUAGAUUUCCAUGAUCUAGCCCCAAACUUCGUCCUCAACAUCUCGGCGUUUGUCGUCGUGUGCGAGGCCUUCCUCCGCAUCAAGCCUCACUUCGUCUUGUGGCUACGAAUAUUAUGCGUGAAGCCGAAGAUCGUGAGCGGCCAGCAAGCAGAGUGCGGAGGUGACAUGGUGGGCAAGAUGCCUAACGUCACCUGGCUUGACGGAUCCUUCGCGGAGACCAUGAAAGGGUGGCAAUCGGGGUGGUUCUACAUCACCGAGCCGCGCGACGCCAAUUGGGCAGCGGCCCCCGAAUUCCGAUCCGGAAUCCCCAUGCGGCUCACCUCCUGGGAAAAGAAAGGCCUCGCCUGGGGCGAGCCUGCGGAGCUGACCGGAUGUCGGGGAUGGUAUCUCCGUGGCCUCGAGCACCUAUGGGGCACUUGGGGGCCCCUUCUGGUUCGGCAAGGGAGCGGGGGUCGUGCGCAGAGCAGAUCGAGGUCGAGCGCGCAUGGGGAGACGGGCAAUCUUUACCCAGCUUCGGGGCUCUCCGGAGAGAUAACACCCCUACUGCUGCUCUGUGUUGUUAUUUGAUCUAGCUCGAGCGUGCGAGCGUAUGGUAGUGCUGUGGGUGUCGAAUGGACCGAACCCCUUCUACGUGCGCAUGGGCCUCCCUUUUAUACUCUGAAGGGGGGAUCCACAGGUGGCAGCGUAGGAAGAGGGGGUAGAAAGGUAAAAUCGCAGGUUGGUGCAACAGUGCACAACAGUGCCCCUACCCAACUCUGACGGCAGGGGACAAGGGCAUUAAAUGCCCGUCCGGUCGCCCCAACAGUGCAGGAGGAGUGACCGUUAAGUGAGCCACCGGUUGCCACGAUGGCGCCUCUGUCAGCUCCGUUUGCCACCUCUCUCCGUAUGGCUGCGUAGUGCCUCGCCACGUGCCCUUGGGAUGGCCUGGUGAUGACGCGUCACUGGGUGCGCUGGAGUUGGGUGGCAGUCUUGCCGCGGCAAGUGCCUUGCCACAGUCCUUUUGUUGUGCCGGCAAGCUUGCCGGCCGCUGGGCCUUGCCGGGGUGCGCGGGGCGUCGCGGCAAGUUUUCUGGUGAUGCCCUGGUUAGCCUUCCUGGCAAGCUCCUCUUGCCGGGGCCUUCGUGUUCUUGGCUAGUACUUUGUUCUUGAAUGGCAGUGCUAAAGAGUGGUGGAGGGCCUUGCCGGGCGCCCGACAAGCCUCGCCGCGGGGUGCUGCGAUUGCCCGUGCACAAGUUCGGGGUACUAAGGUACCCCCCUACUUUAGUACACCGACAGGAGCCCCCGGGCCUGGGCCAUACACGGUGCCGGGCGUUGUUGGGCCAGGCCCAAAACAGUGCACGGGCACGCGUGGCCUGGGUCCGCACAGCAACGGGCUCCGCGCCCACCGCGCUCUCCCGCAACGGCACGCGUCGAUUGCGGCGUCGUGGGAGACGUGGGUGGCGCGUGCGAUCUUUAAGGCAUCCACCCCCGUGAUCAUGGUGCAGGGCGAGGUCACUUCACCCGUCGCCCCGGCUCCGCUUUUUUUGCCACGCGGCUUUCAUGUGUGGGGGGUCGUGGGCGGCGAAGGUGGGAGACCGAGCCGUCACGGGCGGAGAUGGCGAGUCGGCCCCGCUCCUCUGCCCUCCUCGCUCUCUGAUUGGCUGGGCGGGGCAGCUGAGCCCCCACCUCGCCCUUUAAAAGGGGCGGAAGGGGAGCACAAUAGCCUCGCACUUCCUCUUCAACUUCCGUUACUCUUCCUCCCAUCUGCCAUGGAGGGAGGGAAUCCUGGUCCAUCAACGGUGGCAGCGAGGGUCGCCUCCAGGCAGCGCGCCUCUCCCUAUCCCGCACCUGUGGUGGCGGAGUCGGCCACGAGGGGGAGAGGGAGGGGGCGAGGCCGCGGACGGGGCCGAGGACGUGGUCGAGGCGCUCGGGGGAGAGGCGGCCGGGGCGAUGCGCCUCCCCCGUCUCCGCUGGCGGCUCCUUUCCUCGAGGCGGUCCACACCAGAGACGAUCCCUGGGAGUUCUUCAUCAAGCUGCGCCGAGCACCUCGUCGCCGCCUCCGGCUGCCAGCCCCGUUCGCGAGCGCGAUGGAACCGGAUCCGCCCGAGAUGAUGGAGUUGCACAUGAGGGGCUGCAGGAUCAGCGGCACUCGAGUGAGUGUCGUACCCCCAGCCCCCGGCGUGAUGUACUUCGAUCGAGGGUGGAAGACGUUCGCCCGCAUCCACAGCUUGACGGCGGGGUUUACCCUCCAUUUUAAGUUAAUGGAGGGCGACCUUCUCGCCGUCAAGGUCUUCGGGGACUCCGGCACCCGGGCGAGAUGCUGUGUGGACAGCUCCUCCGAUAGCGAAGGUCCCUCCUCGAGCGAGAGUGAUGAGGAGGGGAGCGACAGCGACGACAACGAGGAUGGCGGGUCCGACUAGGCGUCGGACGCUGCCUCGCGCGCCACCGGCGACCCCAUCAUCCGGGUCGCCGGCCUUCUGAACUCCCCGGGGCCGUCUCCUUGGGCGGCUGGCGUAGGGAGGCUGCGGAAGAGGAAGAGGGGUGGCGGCAAGGCCGUCAAGUCGGAGUACGAGGGCGAGGAGCCCUCGACAGCGUGCUGACGUUCCACCACCCCGUCUUCAAGCUCUGCCUCCGGCGCCUCCGUCUCCGCCAAGCUCCUGGCCGGCCCCCGAGAAGUUCUCUUGGUGUCUUCUGGCGCCCGUAGCUCUCCUAGGCGCCCCUUUUUCCCUUCCCGGCAAGCUUCUCUUGCCGGGGCCUCCUUGACCUACGUCCUGAACAGAGAAACAGGAGAGGGAUUACGGGCAUCUUAUCUUUCAAUUUGUAAGCCUUUGGGCCUUAGUUGUAUUUAAAAUCUGUAACCCUCUCUAUCAUGUUUUUCAUCCUCUAUGGACUUGUACUAAACUAGGAUGUUUUUUAAUGAAAAGAGGGGAACGCUUGUCGGACUAAGUCCUUUACUUGAUCUCGUGCCUUGUACGCUCCCAUUCUAUGCUUCUAGGGGACUUGCCGGAGCGAACACACUUGCUGAGUGUGGGACAUCAGCAGCCCGCUGGCGGUGUUGCUUCCGGCAAGCAACCUUGCCGGGCUAGUUGCAGCGCACUUACGUUUGUUGAGCGGACUCGGAAACAAACCAAGGGCGUAACUGGGCCACGACUCGGCUCCUCCGCGCAUGGGUUUUACAAGACACGCUCGUUCAAGGACGCGGCCCCGCCUUCCCCGGUCCAUAAGAGGAUGCAUGACGAGGGAUGAAAAACUUAUCUGACUCCACAGCCCCCCGGCGAUAUUAGCUUGUCGGGGAGGAAUCUUGGCCUUCGCAGCCACCGGCAACUCUGGCUCCGCCAAAAUCCAGGUGCUGGUGUGCUCUCUUUUGCCCUUGUCGCCGACGCCGCGGCCGCCGGGGGCCCAGGCCCGUCGCGAAGGGUCUCUGGCACUUGCAGCCCCCAGUAAAGUUGGCUUGCCGGGGCCGGUGCGCUCUUCUGGCUUCUCCUUGUCACUGUAAUUACAGCCAUGAAAACAGCUGAGACAGCACUGUAAUAAGUUCGUUAUCUAUAUUUUAUGCGCGACUUUUGCAAAACGAUGCCAGGCUUUGCCCUUCGUAUGUUUAUACUCUACGCCGCUAGGGAACUUGCCGGCGCUAACACACUUGCUGAGUACGGGACAUCAGCAGCCCGCUGGCGGUGUUGUUUCCGGCAAGAAACCUUCCCAGGCCAGUUGCAGUGCACUUGAAUUGUUGAGCGGACUCGGAAACAAAUCAAGGACGCAACUCAGCCGUGAGUUAGUUCCUCCGCGCACAAGUUUCUUAUACGAAGGGCGCCUUAUGGCAAGGCUUGGUAUGUUACGCCCUCUACUUUGUUAUAUCCUUUGUGCGCUUUUACCCUACGCUUCUAGGGAACUUGCCGGCGCUAACACACUUACUGAGUACGGGACAUCAGCAGCCCGCUGGCGGUGUUGUUUCCGGCAAGCAACCUUCUCGGGCCAGUUGGCAUGCACUUGUAUUGUUGAGCGGACUCGGAAACAAAGCAAGGACGCAACUUAACCACGAGUUGGCUCCUCCGCGCACAGGUAUUGCGUACAAAGGACGAACGCACGAGGACCAUAACAUAAAAAAACAUGGAACUAAGAAGUGCUCUGUACAAAAACUCGGACGACUUAGCUUUUCCGUCUUCAGUAGUCCGUCGAGGCCGUGCUUCUUCCCUGAUCUUUCCCCCUUGUAUGUUUUUGCCCUUACGCUUCCGGGGAACCCACCGUCGCAAACACGCUUGCUGAGUGCAGGGCAUCAGCGGCCCGCUGGCGGUGUUGCUUCCGGCGGGAAGAACUCGUCGGGCUGGUUGCGGCGCGCUUUUAUCGUCGAGCGGACUCGAAACGGAUCAACGGCGCAACGUAACCACGAUUCGACCCUUCCGCGCUCGGGUUCUUCAUACAAGGUACGGAUUUUCAGGGAGCACAACUCAUAAGUUCGAAGCUUGGCAACUUUCUUUGCCCUACUGGCCGGCAGAGCUCGAUGGCGCGUCCUCGACAGCAGCGUGGCACUCCGGAGAGACAGGCUUGCCGGAGUGAGCACCAGAGUCGUUCUUGCCGGGCUCAGCCUUUGGUUGGUCUGCCUUCGCCUUCUCGCACUUGCCGGUGGAGCUCGAUGGCGCGUCCUCGACGGCAGCGCAGCGCUCCGGGGAGAUGCGCUUGCCGGAGUGAGCACCAGAGCUGUCCUUGCCGGACUUGGUCUUCUUCUUCCCCCGGGGAGCUUCGGCGGCAAGUGGCUCGCGCUCUGCUGCAGCAGCUGCUUCCCGGUAGAUCUUGUCGGCGCAGAUGAGCGCAUCCUUCUUGUCGCCUUGGACAGAAAUGACACUCAUCGGGCCAGGCAUUUUGAGCACAUUGUAUGCGUGGUGAGAGGCCGCCAUGAACUUGGCGAGUGCGGGUCGGCCGAGUAUCCUGUUGUAAGGUAAGGGGAUAUCAGCCACGUCGAAUGUGACCCUCUCAGUCCUGAAGUUCAGCUCGCUGCCGAACGUCACCGGCAAUGUGAUCUUCCCCUUGGGCUGGCUCCUUCCCGGAUUUAUCCCUUGAAAGGUGCCAGUCUCUUCAAGCUCGUCGUCAGGGAUCUGGAGCUUCUUGAGUACUGCGGAGGAAAUCAGGUUCAGGCCGGCCCCGCCAUCAACCAGCAUCUUCGUGACCUUGAGGUUGCGGAUUGUUGGUGAAACCAACAUCGGCAAGCACCCGACCGCAGUGAUGCGAUCAGGGUGGUCCUCAAUGUCAAAGAUGAUGGGCGUGCUGGACCACUUCAGAGGCUUGCGCGCCUCGACGGACGGCUCUGCUGCGUUCACUUCUCGCACCCAUUGCUUGAGUUGGCGGUGCGAGGUGUGCAGAGAGGCGCCGCCGUCGACGCACAAUACCUCCGUUGCCUUCUGAAACUCUUGAUCAUCAGUCUCAUCUUCCUCCAUCUCAUCAUCUUCAUCUUCAUUUUCGUCCUUGUCGCGGCCACGGGGAGGCCUGUCUCCUUGCCGCGUCUUGGCCUUGCCGCGGUUCCCUCCCCGGGCGGGAGGCUUCUUGCCGGAUCCUCCGCCACCUCCCUGGGCUCUCUCCUUAUCGCGGCGCUCGUAUUCAGCUUUCUGCAGCUCCGCCAUCUGCUCUACUUUUUUGCAGGUUUGGAGGUCAUGGCCUUUGGUGCGGUGGAUCUUGCAAUAACGCUUGCCGGAGCCAUCCUGCUUGUCGGCGGCCGCUACAGCCUCGCCGGAGUCGUCGGUCUUGGCCUUGUCGGAGCCGCCUCCGUUGCCGGAAUGCUCAACAGCUAGCACAUCCUUAGCUUUCCUCUUCCUAUUGUUCUGCCUCCGGUUCUUCCUUGCCGGGGCGGCAUCCUCACUGUCAGAUCCUUCUGCUCCGGCAACCUCUCCGGGGAUUUUCCUCCCCUCCUCAGCCCGUGCACACUUGUCGGCGAGAGCGUAGAGCUCGCUGACAUCUCUGAUUUUGCACAUCGCCAUCUCCUCCCUCAUCCUGCGGUUACGCACGUUCUGAUGAAACGCGCUAAUAACCGCGGCAGGGUGGACGUCUGGGAUGUUGCGCUGCACCUGGCUGAAUCUUUGUAUGUACUUGCGCAGGGGCUCCCCCUCCUUCUGGACGAGCAAGUGGAGGUCACUCUCCUGGCCAUGAGGCUUGUGGCCACCCGUGAAGGCGCCGACAAACUGAUGACACAGGUCCGCCCAUGAAGAGAUGGAGCCGUCCGGCAAGUGCAUGAGCCAAGAUCUGACGUUAGGCUUGAGUACCAGCGGGAAGUAGUUGGGGAGGAUCUUCUCGUCGCGCCCUCCGGCAGCCUGCACCGCGAUGGUGUAGAUGCUGAGGAACUCCGACGGGUGUAUCCUGCCGUCGUACUUCUCGGGCACAUCUGGCUUGAAGUUCUUGGUUUUGGGCCACUGGACUUGCCGCAGCUCGCGGGUGAACGCAGGGCAACCUGCCGCGUACGGCAAGUCGCCUGGUUCCCCUGGCGCUUGCAUGUCGACAAUUGGCCCGGCGCGCUGGUCAGAUUGACGUCGCGUUUCUCUCCGGCGCUCGAUGCGAGUGCGAGCGUCUUCGUGUUGCCGUUCUUGGAGAACGUGGCGCUGAUCGCGGCGAGUUCGCGGGUCCGACGACGCGGUGGAGUCGGCGUCAAGGUUGGUCCAGCGAGCCGGCGAUCUUGGCCUUUGAGGCUGGGAGCGCACGGAAGUGGCACCCCCAGCGGUCCUGUCGGCGCCGGCCUGCGCCGGGGCGUCUUGCCGGGCCCUCGACGCGUUCGGUCGCCGGGGCUUGUCGCCGUUGGCGAAGCCAAUGAGGCUGUGUAUGGCCAUCCUCCAGUCGUCGAUCUUGUGUGGCGCCGGAGGAAAAUCUAGAAGCAGGUCGGCUCGGGCCAGCGCUUCCUCUGCUGUCUUGGGCGGCGGCGGUGACGAGCGGCGCAAGGAGCGAGAUGUGCUCGGACUCCCAACCGGAUUGGGAGGAGCAACACCUCUUCCAGGCGACCGCACCUCACUCGCGCCAGCAUGCGGGCGUGCAUGCUGACCUCGAGCGUCCCGCGACCCACCAGCUUGGCCUUGCUCCAAUGCGAGCACGGUGCUAGGAGCACCGGGGCGUUGUUGACCUUGCACUUCUUGGGAAGGGCGCGGCGUCUGCACCGUCGCCGACGCUUGCGGGGCCUUGUUCUUGGAUCUGGUGACGACACGAGACCCACUGGCGGCACCCGCCCCUCCGCCGGCGUCCACUUCGCCGCCUGCUUGCUCCGGCGGUGGUGGUGGAAUUGAUGUAGACGGAGCGGCCACCUCCGAAGGCUUCUUCUUUGGUGGCAUGUUGACGAUGACGCUGAUGUAGCACGCGUGGAGACCGGAUCAGAUGCUCACGACCUCGACGCCCCCUACCUGGCGCGCCAAAGAUGUCGGGGCUGGUAUCUCCGUGGCCUCGAGCACCUAUGGGGCACUUGGGGGCCCCUUCUGGUUCGGCAAGGGAGCGGGGGUCGUGCGCAGAGCAGAUCGAGGUCGAGCGCGCGCGGGGAGACGGGCAAUCUUUACCCAGCUUCGGGGCUCUCCGGAGAGAUAACACCCCUACUGCUGCUCUGUGUUGUUAUUUGAUCUAGCUCGAGCGUGCGAGCGUAUGGUAGUGCUGUGGGUGUCGAAUGGACCGAACCCCUUCUACGUGCGCAUGGGCCUCCCUUUUAUACUCUGAAGGGGGGAUCCACAGGUGGCAGCGUAGGAAGAGGGGGUAGAAAGGUAAAAUCGCAGGUUGGUGCAACAGUGCACAACAGUGCCCCUACCCAACUCUGACGGCAGGGGACAAGGGCAUUAAAUGCCUGUCCGGUCGCCCCAACAGUGCAGGAGGAGUGACCGUUAAGUGAGCCACCGGUUGCCACUAUGGCGCCUCUGUCAGCUCCGUUUGCCACCUCGCUCCGUAUGGCUGCGUAGUGCCUCGCCACGUGCCCUUGGGAUGGCCUGGUGAUGACGCGUCACUAGGUGCACUGGAGUUGGGUGGCAGUCUUGCCGCGGCAAGUGCCUUGCCGCAGUCCUUUUGUUGUGCCGGCAAGCUUGCCGGCCGCUGGGCCUUGCCGGGGUGCGCGGGGCGUCGCGGCAAGUUUUCUGGUGAUGCCCUGGUUAGCCUUCCCGGCAAGCUCCUCUUGCCGGGGCCUUCAUGUUCUUGGCUAGUACUUUGUUCUUGAAUGGCAGUGCUAAAGAGUGGUGGAGGGCCUUGCCGGGCGCCCGGCAAGCCUCGCCGCGGGGUGCUGCGACUGCCCGUGCACAAGUUCGGGGUACUAAGGUAACCCCCUACUUUAGUACACCGACACCGGACUCCAGAACUGCAUCAAGAAUAUGAAGGACAAGAAAAUCAAGCUUGUCAAUGUGGUCCAAGUCAUGCUUGUCCGCCGGAUUCUUCCGUGCCAAAGGCGGGCUUUUAAUCUGUGGGAGUUCGUCCCGGCCGAACACCAGAGGCUUCAAAAGCUCUACGGCAUGAUGCACAAGGGCGCCUGGAAGAGGCUGUUCAAGGCCUCCAAAGUACCUCCUCCUACAUCUGAGGAUCGCAGACUUCACGCGUGCGGCUCCCCCAUCUGGUGAGUUUUCUGACUACCACCGGAUUCAGUUUUUCCCAAUGUACUCAUGGAGGAAUCUUAAGUCAUUGUGCGUAUUUGAUCAGGAAUAUGUGGAGACGGCGGAGCGGAUUGACUGUCCGGCUCCACUGCCAGAAGGUCCAGCAGAUGCUCUCCUGACGGAGAUGCUAGUCCCGGCGCCCUACAAGGCGCCGGAAAAGAAGGCUCCGGGGACCAGGAAGGGUCUCCGGCGUAAGGUCGUACCGGACGCCUCAUCCGAAGACGACGAGGCACACUCCUCCCUCGAAGGGGAGGAAGAAGAGGAAGGGGCCGCCCCAUCCGGAGAGGAUGGGGGGCCUAAGAAGGCGGGCUAGCGGACCGGUGUCGGUGUCAAAACCGGCGGAUCUCGGGUAGGGGGUCCCGAACUGUGCGUCUAGGCGGAUGGUAACAGGAGACAAGGGACACAAUGUUUUUACCCAGGUUCGGGCCCUCUCGAUGGAGGUAAAACCCUACUCCUGCUUGAUUAAUAUUGAUGAUAUGGGUAGUACAAGAGUGGAUCUACCACGAGAUCAAGGAGGCUAAACCCUAGAAGCUAGCCUAUGGUAUGAUUGUUGUAAUGGUUGUUGUGUCCUACGGACUAAAGCCCUCCGGUUUAUAUAGACACCGGAGAAGGCUAGGGUUACACAGAAUCGGUUACAAUGGUAGGAGAUCUACAUAUCCGUAUCGCCAAGCUUGCCUUCCACGCCAAGGAAAGUCCCAUCCGGACACGGGACGGAGUCUUCGAUCUUGUAUCUUCGUAGUCUUGGAUUCCGGUGGACGAUGAUAGUCCGGCUGUCCGGACACCCCCUAGUCCAGGACUACCUCAGUAGCCCCCGAACCAGGCUUCAAUGAUGAUAAGUCCAGCGCGUAUACAGUCUUCGGCGUUGCAAGGCGGGUUCUCCCUUAAGUUCCAUGUAUCUGCCGAACAGUGUCCGGCUUCCUUAUCAAUGUUGCACUUCUUGGCUUCCACGCCCAAUAAUGGCCAUCUUCCACGCGUCGCACGAAUGCAAAAAGCCAAGGUAUCUUUUAUGUUUUACCCCCUAGCUAUGCAAAUAAUCUGCCUAUAAGAGAGGCAAGAAUCCAGAUCCAAAUCACACCAUCUUCCUUCUGCGAGUACUCAUCGGAGCGCUUCUGACCAAGAAUCCAUUCCAUCAUGGACCGUCGACGCGGCUCCUCUUCUCGCGCUCCCAGCCCUCCGCCAGGAGAUUGGAGGAGAUGUUCUGUCCCGCACAACGAGCUGGUGACGCUCCAGGCGAAGGGAUAUCUCCCUCUGGCCUUCAUGGUUCCGGUUCGAGCCGGGUUGGUCACCUACCAAGGCGGGAAGCAAGCGGAGGCUACCCCAAAUCCCAACAAAGGGGAGCGGGUAUGCUUCGUCCCCUAUUUGAUAAGGGGGCUCGGAUUUCCUAUACACCCGUUCCUCCGCGGGCUCCUAGAGUUCUACGGACUCCAGCUCCAUCACCUUAUGCCCGCCUCUAUCCUGCAUAUCGCGGGUUACGUAGCUCUUUGCGAGCUAUUCCUGGGCGUUGAGCCCCAUUUUGCACUGUGGAAGAGGUUGUUCUGCCUUGUGCCCCGCUCUCACGAGGGGUCCCUAUAUCAAGUGGGUGGCGCCGAAAUAUGGCGCAUUGCCGGGACCGGAUAUCCAUCCGGAACCCCUAAGAAGGCGUCCGAAGACUGGCCUUCGGAAUGGUUUUAUAUAGAAGACGCUCCGCUGCCGGACCCUGUUCAGAUCGGCCUCCCGAAGUUCAGUACUGCUCCUCUGAAGAAACGCCUCAGUUGGCGUCCGCGGAGCCCCCAACUGGAGGAAGACAAGAGCGUCCAUUAUUUGAUGGGCCGGAUAAGGUUACUGGCCCAUUCCAGGUUGACCAUGAUUGGAGUCAUGGCAACAUGCAUUAUGCGGGGGGUGCAGCCACUACAAUACAGGGGCCACCCCAUGUGGGAUUUCAACGGGGAGGACGAUGCCACCCGUCACGGCCGCAAAGGGCUGGGUUCGGCCGACGACCUAGCGAAGAUCCUGUCCGGCCUGUACAAGGGGGAGAAGGAGGACUUCCUUCAGACGAACCCGUUGAAUGGGUUCUCCAUGAAUAAUCCCCGGCGUUGGGUAAGCGAACACUCUGUGUGUUUGACCCAUGCUUUUGAAGUUUAAGCUUCUUAUAUUAUGUCUUCGAUGCAGGAACUGUGUCGGAUUGUGGAGGACAUGAUAAGUCCAGCUCCGCAACCCGAGGAUCCAGAGAGAUCCCAGGAUCCGACCUCCGAAGAGGAUCCGGACAUAAAGGUGGAGCUAAUCGACGGGGUGUUCCACCAGCUCAGCAUGGAUAAUGCUUUAGUCGCCAUUACGGCUGACUACCCCGGACUAUAUCCGGCUUCCCAGGUGAUUGUGACCGAAGUACCGACACCAUUAUUUCUUCCUUGCUCAUUUCUGACCUUCGCAUACGAUGGUGUUUUGCAGGAAGCGCCUUCAGGGAGGGAAGCCGAGCCCGCGGCGCCUGACCAACAAAGGCCAGUCCGGACCAGUAGGCAGAAGAGGAGCGCGGCGCGGAUUGAAACGUCGCCGCAAAGGUAUAGCUCACUGUUCAUUAUCUGGAGCAAUGUUCCUAGGAAGCGUUUGAGUGCUCAUGACUUUUGUAGGAGAAAAAGCGCCUGCCGGACUGCGGGCGUAGAGGUUGCCAAUCCAACCUCUACCAGCCAGGCUCCAGCACCUGGUCUGGAGGGGGAGGUGAGCGCAAGGAGCGAGCCGGACACUCCUCCAACGGAGGAUGCCGACAGACUAUCCGCCACCAAGUCUGAGGUGGAGAGCGCCAUGAACCACAGGCGCCGCCGGACAUCAUUUCGUGACGCGUGCUUCUCCCCUGAGGCGUUGAAUGCCUUUAACGCGGGGGACGCGCACCUCCGUGCUGCUCAAGAUGGUUUUACCAGAGCCACGGAGCAGUAUGUAAAAGACAUACAGGUAAGAGAAUUUAAUAGUUGUAUAUGCCAGUAGCCCCCGAGACUUAAAGUAGUUAUAUUAACUGAUUUAAGGAUCAUUUGAAACGCAGGAUCUUACGGAGAAGAAUACCAGCUGUCUCAGGAGCUGCAAGAGUGCAAGGCCCAACUCGAGGCCGCACUUGCUGCCGCAGGAGGAAACACAGAGACCCCUCCUGGUAACACAUUAUUUUAAAAAUAUAAGCGGUGUGCGGCGUGCACGCAAGUCUAAUAAUGACAUUGCAAGUGCUGCCGGACAAGAUCCGGACAGGCAAGAACUACUGCGCCAGCUGAAGGCCGGCGAGAGGGUGCUGAAUAGAGUGCAGCAGGAAAGGAACAAGCUCCAGGAUGCCCAUGCCCAGCUCGGAGAAGAGCUAAAAGGUGUUCGGGCCGAGCUGUCUGGCUCCAUUAAGGAGAAUCAGCGGCUUCGUCGCGGCAUCUAUAGUAAGUGCUUGAGCGAACUCCUUUGAAAAGAAGAGUUCAACGAGGAAGUCAAUUGACAAAAUAUGUCUGUAGGUAUACUCACAGGUCGCCCUGCGGAGGAGAUGCCCGUAUCGACGGGUGAUCAACUUCCCGAACUGUUGCGGCUACUCGAACGAGUCCGGCAGGCAAUGAGCGGCGUCGUCCAGGCUUUAUGGCCGGACCUCUCCCUACCCGAGGGCCUUGGGGAACUUGCGGAGAAGCUUCAGGGAGUGCGGCAGCGCUUCCGUUUAUGGAAGAUUUUGGCCUGCCGCCAAGGUGCCAGAGAGGCCUGGGCCAUGGUGAAGACGCGGUACAAGAAGGCGGAUCCCAACCACAUGGCCGAGGUCGGACCUGUGGGGCCCGAUGGGAAGAGAUCCCUGUGAGUUUAGUAUACGGCCAAGUAGAGUUGGCCGCUAAAUUUUCCCAACGGGGCUGUAAAUUGGACAGCCUGUUAGACGGGAUUGAGGAGGAAUACAGUCAGUCUAUUUGACAAUGUAUUUUAAAAUGACAUGUAAAAUGCCUUCUAGCCGGAUUGUAGAUCGUUUGUCUUUGCCGACCUUUUCGCUUCAACCUCGGGACCCUAGAGUCCGGAGUGUGUCCGAAUGCCUUCUCGGUUAAGAAUAACCGGGGCAUGCAUGGAGACCAGGCAUAGGGGUCAUUAGUGCUUUAUCAGACAAGUGCCCAACUAGUUAUGUUAUAUUACAUGGUUAGUAAGAAACAUCUUCCAGGGAGAAUAGUUCCGUUAAGGGUUCCUUUCCCUGGGAGGCAUGCCCUAAAGUGCAUGUCAGGUCUGCGAAAAGAGUAGAAAAACAUCUGGGGGCAGAUAAAUAAGUAGGUAAAAAUCAUCUUUCAAGUCACCGACCGAAUAUUCCCUCAAGAACGCUAGCUUUCGGCUUCACCCAGUCUGAGGUACACAUCCGGCUGACCCGGCAGUAACAAUCGCAGAGGUGCUCGCUUUACCUCCUAGCCGAACAAUCGGGAACGUAGGGGUAAGCACAGGAGCCAGGCAACCCAGCUUGGCCAAAACUUAAGUCAUAUCGAUGCAUAUAAUGGUGAAUAAAAGGUACAUGUGGAAGCUUGACACAUGUGCUGGGCAUGGAGCCCUUAUAAUUAAGCUUCUGGUAAAGAAGCCCCCAGGUAUAAUGAGUGCGGAUGGCACAUCAAGUGUGUGCAAACAAUACGCAAGUAGGCCCUUAAGGGCUUGUUAGGAGAAAGGGUUGAGAGAAGAAAGAGAAAGAAAAGACAGCUGAAGUUUAAAAAUUUGGACGGGGGAAGGGGACAAACUCUUAGUCCGGCACUAGGCAUAGAAUCUUCGGAGGCGGGCUGCGUUCCAUGGGUUCGGCUCGAGUCGGUUGUCCGAUGCAUUUCGUAGACGGUACACUCCGCCGGUCAGGACUUGAUCGAUAAUGAAGGGGCCCUCCCAUUUGGGCUUGAGCUUGUCCUUUUUCUUGUCCGGCAGGCGUAGAACUAGCUCGCCAACGUUGUAAGUCUUGGCCCGUACUUCUCUGCUUUGAUACCUUUGAGCCUGCUGCUGAUAGAAUGCGGAACAAGCCUUGGCGACGUCGCGUUCUUCCUCCAAUGCGUCCAAGCUAUCCUGCCGAUCCAGCUCGGCUUCUCUUUCUUCGUACAUGCGCACUCGAGGUGAGUCAUGAAUGAUAUCGCAGGGCAGAACUGCCUCUGCGCCGUAUACCAUAAAAAAUGGUGUGAACCCGGUAGUACGGUUGGGCGUUGUCCGCAGCCCCCAGAGUACGGAGUCGAGCUCCUCUACCCAGUGUGUGUCAGAUUUCGUAAGGGACCGCACUAGUCUGGGUUUGAUGCCGCUCAUUAUUAGACCAUUUGCUCGUUCCACUUGACCGUUGGUUUGAGGGUGAUAGACUGAAGCUUAAUCGAGCUUAAUGCCCAUAUUUUUGCACCAUGAUUUAACCUUGUCGGCCGUGAAAUUCGUGCCGUUAUCGGUGAUGAUGCUGUGGGGGACACCAUAACGGUGUACUACCCCGGAGAUAAAGUCUAUCACUGGUCCGGACUCUGCCGUUUUGACUGGCUUGGCCUCUAUCCAUUUGGUGAAUUUGUCCACCAUGACCAAUAGGUACCUUUGCUUGUGGGUUCCCCCUUUAAGGGGUCCAACCAUGUCAAGCCCCCAGACCGCAAACGUCCAGGUAAUGGGUAUAGUUUUGAGGGAGGUGGGUGGCAUAUGGCUCUGAUUAGCAAAGAGCUAACAACCGACGCAUCUUUGGACUAAGUCCUGAGCAUCUGCCCGGGCCGUCGGCCAAUAAAAUCUUGUACGGAAUGCCUUUCCUACAAGGGCCCGAGCUGCUGCGUGGUGUCCGCCUAGUCCGGCAUGAAUUUCAGCCAGAAGGUUUCGCCCUUCCUCUUCGGAGAUACACCUUUGAAGGACUCCAGUUGUGCUUUUCUUAUAAAGUUCUCCCUCAUGGACCUUGUAGGCUUUAGAUCGCCGGACUAUGCAGCGGGCCUCAUUUUGGUCUUCGGGAAGUUCCUGCCUAAGCAAGUAGGCUAGGAAUGGUUCUGUCCACGGGGCGAUUACUGCCAUUAUGUCGUGGGCUGAAGGUGUUAUUUCGGCUGAAUCGCCGGUUAUGUCAGAUUGCUCUGUGUCGGUUGGUGUGGCUGCUUCCGGCUUGUUAUUUCCGGACUCCUCUUCCCAUAGUACGGAUGGCUUAAAGAGCCGUUCCGGGAAGAUGUUUGGAGGGACAGCGUCACGUUUUGCGCCGAUGAUGCCAAUAUGUCGGUUGCUUGGUUAUUAUCCCGGGCUACGUGAUGGAAUUCAAGUCCUUCAAACCGAGCUGACAUUUUUAGGACAGCGUUGCGAUAUGCUGCCAUUUUCGGAUCCUUGGCGUCAAAGUCUCCAUUUAUUUGGGAUAUUGCAAGGUUUGAAUCCCCGCGCACCUCUAGGCGUUGAAUGCCCAUGGAGAUUUCCAUCCGGAGGCCAUGUAAAAGGGCCUCGUAUUCGGCUGCGUUGUUGGAGUCCAUGUACAUUAUCUGAAGUACGUAUUGGACUGUGUCUCCAGUUGGGGACGUCAAUACGACGCCAGCCCCCAAUCCGGCUAACAUUUUAGAGCCGUCGAAGUGCAUAAUCCAAUGGGAGUAUGCGUCGUACUCUUUAGGGAGUUCGGCUUCGGUCCAUUCAGCGACAAAGUCAGCCAAAACUUGUGACUUUAUAGGUCGCCGAGGUUUGUAAGUUAUAUCGAAUGGUAAGAGCUCAAUGGCCCAUUUUGCAAUCCUGCCCGUCGCGUCGCGGUUGUUUUUAAUGUCGUUGAGGGGUACUUCGGAGGCCACUGUUAUCGAACACUCUUGAAAGUAGUGUCGGAGCUUCCGGGAUGCCAUGAACACCGCAUACACUAUCUUUUGAUAGUGCGGGUAACGGGACUUGCAGGGGGUUAACACAGUGGAUACGUAGUACACUGGUUUUUGAAGAGGGAAUUUAUGCCCUUCUGUCUCUCGUUCGACGACGAGUACCGCGCUUACAACUUGAUGUGUUGCCGCGAUGUAUAACAACAUUGGUUCGCCCAGGUUGGGCGUAGCCAGGACCAGAUUUGUUGCCAAUAUGGCUUUUAUUUCUUCGAGUCCGGCAGUGGCAGCAUCCGUCCACUCGAAGUGUUCGGUGCGCCUAAGGAGGCGAUAGAGGGGCAAUGCCUUUUCUCCUAGACGGGAGAUAAAGCGGCUUAGAGCUGCCAUGCAUCCAGUCAAUUUUUGUAUUUGUUUGAGGUCUUUUGGAAUAUCUAGCUGUGACAGAGCUCGAAUCUUGGCUGGGUUUGCUUCAAUUCCUCUACCGGAUACAAUGAAGCCCAGGAGCUUUCCGGCUGGUACGCCGAAAACGCAUUUUUCCGGAUUCAGCUUGAUGUCGUAUGCUCUGAGGUUGUCGAAUGUGAGCCUCAAGUCGUCUACUAGAGUUUCGACGUGUUUGGUUUUGACGACUACGUCGUCUACGUAUGCCUCUGCUGUUUUGCCGAUCUGGGUGGCCAGACAUGUUUGAAUCAUGCACUGAUAUGUUGCGCGAGCAUUUUUAAGUCCAAAGGGCAUCGUGUUGAAGCAGAAUGGUCCAUAUGGAGUGAUGAAUGCCGUUGCGGCUUGGUCCGCUUCCGCCAUCUUGAUUUGAUGGUAGCCGGAGUAUGCGUCAAGGAAGCACAAUGAAUCAUGUCCUGCGGUAGCGUCGAUUAUCUGGUCGAUGCGGGGGAGGGGGAAGGGAUCCUUUGGGCAGGCCUUGUUAAGGUCUUUAAAAUCGACACAUAGGCGCCAGGAUUUGUCCUUUUUUGGUACCAUUACCAGGUUUGCUAGCCAAUCCGGAUGUUUGAUAUCUCUGAUGAAUCCGGCUUCCAAUAGUUUGGCUAGCUCUUCUCCCAUUGCCUGUCUUUUGGGUUCGGAAAAUCGUCGAAGAGCCUGUUUGACUGGCUUGAAUCCUUUUAGGAUGUUUAGGCUGUGUUCUGCCAAUCUGCGUGGGAUUCCGGGCAUAUCCGAAGGGUGCCAGGCGAAAAUGUCCCAAUUUUCCCGAAGGAAUUCUUGCAGUGCGGCGUCUACAUCAGGGUUCAACUGUGCCCCGAUGGAAGCCGUCUUUGUCAGGUCCGUUGGAUGGACCUGGAAUUUUACUAUUUCGUCCGCUGGUUUAAAGGAGGUGGACUUGGAUCUCUUAUCGAGUAUCACAUCGUCCCUAUUUACAGUAGAGCGCAGCGCGGUGAGUUCUUCUGCCGCUAGGGCUUCGGAUAGUGCCUCCAGGGCUAAUGCGGCUGUCUUGUUUUCGGCGCGGAGUGCUAUGUCUGGAUCACUAACGAGAGUGAUUAUUCCGCCGGGCCCAGGCAUUUUGAGCUUCAUGUACCCGUAAUGGGGUACGGCUUGAAAAAUUGUGAAUGCCUCUCGUCCUAAUAUAGCGUGAUAUCCGCUGUUGGACGGGGCCACUUGAAACGUGACUUCUUUGGAUCUGUAAUUGUCCGGCGAGCCGAACACCACAUCGAGUGUGAUUUUUUCGGUGCAGCGCGCUUCCCGGCUAGGGAUUAUUCCUUUGAAGGUUGUGCUGCAUCGCUCAAUGCGGCUCCAGUCUAUUUCCAUUUUUUGAAGAGUUUCCUCAUAGAUGAGGUUUAAUCCGCUGCCGCCAUCCAUGAGGACCUUUGUAAGUCAAAAGCCGUCCACUAUUGGACUAAGUACCAGUGCGACUGGUGCUCGGGCUGUUCGGAAUUUAGGUUCGUCGCUGGCGUUGAAGGUGAUGGCUGUGUCGCUCCAUGGAUUUGUUGUUGCUACUUGGUAGACUUCGGCGAGGCUGCGGAUUGUUCGUUUCCGCAUAUUAUUUGAUGCGAAAGUCUCGAAGACUGUUGAUACCGUACCGGUAUUGUUGGAGUGGUUUUCCGGGGCUAGAAGCUCCUCGCCACUUUUGGCCACCUGCCGUAAUAUCCAACAUGCUCGAAGGCUAUGUGUUGGGAUGGCGCCCUCUGUACUGUGAAUUUUACAGGGUUCGCUGAGCCAUCCCUCCAGCAUGGUUCCAUGCCCUUUAUGGGGUUUUUGCUUUUUGGUUUUUGUAUCUGGUGCCUGAGUGUAAUGCACCCUUUUGUUGCGGACUAGGGUUGGGGCCGGGUUGUCCCAAAACUUAUUUUCGGUUUUCCAGAAACUCUCCAUCGCACAGUACUUUCGUACUAUGGAUGCCAGGUUGGCGAAGCGUGUAAUUUCACGACGGCUGACGGCGUUCAAGAUUCCCUCAUCCGUGCAAUUAUUGCAAAAAAUUGAGAUUGCGUUUUCCUCUCGGCAGUCCUUUAUCCUGUCCAUAACCAGGAGGAAUCUGGCCCAGUAGUGAUGUACUGUUUCAGCGGGCUCUUGCCGGAUUAGAGAUAGAUCGCAUAUGUCUGGGCGGGUGGGUGGAAUUAAGUCCGGAACCCUACCCAUCUCAAGGCUCAAAGGCCGAGAAGUUUCCAAAUUUGGAAGCUUAGAUUGCUGGACGUUGUCCAAUGAGUCCGGUCCGAUGCCUGACUUUAAGUUCAGCGCUUGAUUGAAGCCCGUCCCUCCGCGGGAAUCUGGCAUGGAGGGUUCGGGAGCCCAGACAUGACUAGUUUUCAAUACAGGAGAAGAGUCGCCGCAUUGUUCCUCUACCACUGUAACGUGGUGGGUGACCUGGGGAGAGUUAAUCUCUCUCAGAUCGGUUUUAAGCCCAAUCUGAUUGUAGUCUAUAGCGACUCCCAGGGCGGCGAUGCGAUCCAAGAGCUCGUUUACGGAAGAGAGCUCUAUUGGAUCCAGCCGCUCGGCGAAUUCCGAGCUGACGUGAAGAUUGCUUUUGACGACUUGAGAGGUCAUUGUCGAAGCGGUGGCCGGACAGGCGGUCAUAAGAAAACCACCUAGCCGGAUAGUUUGGCCGGCGGCCAAAGCUCCUUUGGCGAAAAUACCGUCCUUGAAGACGGGAGGAGGCAUCCUUCCUAUCGGUGACGGCACAGAGGAACUCUCAAUGAAAGCACCAAUGUCGGUGUCAAAACCGGCGGAUCUCGGGUAGGGGGUCCCGAACUGUGCGUCUAGGCGGAUGGUACAGGAGACAAGGGACACGAUGUUUUUACCCAGGUUCGGGCCCUCUCGAUGGAGGUAAAAUCCUACUCCUGCUUGAUUGAUAUUGAUGAUAUGGGUAGUACAAGAGUGGAUCUACCACGAGAUCAAGGAGGCUAAACCCUAGAAGCUAGCCUAUGGUAUGAUUGUUGUAAUGGUUGUUGUGUCCUACGGACUAAAGCCCUCCGGUUUAUAUAGACACCGGAGAAGGCUAGGGUUACACAGAAUCGGUUACAAUGGUAGGAGAUCUACAUAUCCGUAUCGCCAAGCUUGCCUUCCACGCCAAGGAAAGUCCCAUCCGGACACGGGACGGAGUCUUCAAUCUUGUAUCUUCGUAGUCUUGGAGUCCGGCGGACGAUGAUAGUCCGGCUGUCCGGACACCCCCUAGUCCAGGACUCCCUCAACCGGGAAGGGUCCCCGGCGCAAGGCCGUCAUACCCUCGUCAUCCGAAGACGACGAGGCAGAUUCCUCCCGUGGAGGCAGGGGGAAACACGAAGAAACUCUGCCUACCCGCACUAGUGAGGAGAAGAAGAGGAAAGCCGCCUCGAAGGGGAGGCUAGGACGCCCAAGAAGGGAAAGGCGUCCCUUCCGGACUACUCCACCAUGGCUUCCUAUAGCAAGGAGUGGCUGCCCAGGGGGAAGCCCCUAGAGAGAUCGUAAGUAUCUGCACUCUGUUAUACUUUAGUGCGACUUCGCUUCAUAGUCUGUUAUAACGCCGAACACAUAUAUGCAGUCCGGCCUGGGUCCAUCCCAAGGUAUCAUCUUCAGAUGGGUCCUUGAGUGAUUCAGCAAUGAACUCGCUUCCGACGGCCACUACCCCUCGGCCUGCGGACGACAGGGAGGUGUUGUCCCAAAGGCUCCCAGUGCAGGGGGAGGUGGCUCUGGAGAUACCCCAGGGAGAAAUUCCAGAUGCCAGGCGCACGGGGUAUAAGAUCCCCGCGGAUCAUGCUGACGAGAGCUGCGGCCAGCCAGGCUCUCAGCCGAAUACUGUACCGGAACCUACGAUGGUUCCGGACUCGGGCAGGCGGCCCCUCGCUAGGGAGGGCGAGCCGUCCAUGCCGAUGACUUCCGUUACACCAGGGGCGUCGGAUAGUCUGCUAGAAGCGCUUCGCGUCGCUUCCAUGGAUGAAGAGCACCGUAGUCUUAUGAGUGCGGUGAUUCAAAAGGUUCUGUCUGCCAAGAGCGGACUAACCAAAGCCUGCACCAGCCUCCUGACGGGCUUUGAGGUAAGUUAUCAAAAAUGUGUGAAAUUAUCACCCGAUAGGUACUAGCCCAUGAUACUCUGUCUGGUGUUCGGAACGAAAAGCCAAACGGAGGGUCGAUUAUAAUCCGCAGGAGUCUAAUAGUAGGUUUGCAUGUGAAUAAGCAGGCAGUGCUACUUGUCGCAGCUUCCUGCACGGCCGAGGUCGCCGGACUUAAUCGGGACCUGGAGCAGGUACAAGGAGAGCUCGUCCUGAUGACCCACAAGUGUAGGGAUCAAUCAUAGUCCUUUCUAUAAGUAAGAGUGUCGAACCCAACGAGGAGCAGAAUGAAAUGAUAAGCGGUUUUCAGUAAGGUUUUCUCUGCAAGCACUGAAAUUGUAGGUGAUAGAUAGUUUUGUGAUACGAUAAAUAGCAACGAGUAACAAGUAAAUAAAGUAAAUAAAGUGCAGCAAGGUGGCCCAAUCCUUUAUGUAGCAAAGGAUAAGCCUGGACAAUUUCUAAUAAUGAGAAAGGAGCUCCCGAGGACACAUUGGGAAUUAUCGUCAAGCUAGUUUUCAUCACGUUCAUAUGAUUCGCAUUCGGUACUUUGAUAAUUUGAUAUGUGGGUGGACCGGUACUUGGGUACUGCCCUAACUUGGACAAGCAUCCCACUUAUGAUUAACCCCUAUUACAAGCGUCCGCAACUACAAAAGAAGUAUUAAGGUAAACCUAACCACAACAUUAAACAUAUGGAUCCAUAUCAGCCCCUAACGAAGCAACGCAUAAACUAGGGUUUAAGCUUCUGUCACUCUAGCAACCCAUCAUCUACUUAUUACUUCCCCAUGCCUUCCUCUAGGCCCAAAUGAUGGUGAUGUGUCAUGUAGUCGACGUUCACAUAACACCACUAGAGGAAAAGACAACAUACAUCUCAUCAAAAUAUCGAACGAAUACCAAAUUCACAUGACUACUAAUAGCAAGACUUCACCCAUGUCCUCAGGGACAAACGUAACUACUCACAAAGCAUAUUCAUGUUCAUAAUCAGAGGGGUAAUAAUAUGCAUAAAGGAUCUGAACAUAUGAUCUUCCACCAAGUAAACCAAUUAGCAUCAACUACAAGGAGUAAUCAACACUACUAACAACCCACAGGUACCAAUUUGUGGUUUUGAUACAAGAUUGGAUACAAGAGAUGAACUAGGGUUUUGAGAGGAGAUGGUGCUGGUGAAGAUGUUGAUGGAGAUUGACCCCCUCCCGAUGAGAGGAUCGUUGGUGAUGACGUUGGUGAUGAUUUCCCCCUCCCGAAGGGAAGUGUCCCCAGCAGAACAGCUCUGCCGGAGCCCUAGAUUGAUUCCGCCAAGGUUCCGCCUCGUGGCGGCGGAGUUUCAUCCCGUAAGCUUGCCCACGAUUUUUCUAGGGUAAAAGCAAUGAUAUAGCAGAAGAUGGACACCAGAGGCCCACCAGGGGGCCCGGGAGAUAGGGGGCGCGCCCUAUAGGGGGGGCGCCCUCCUGUCUCCUAGACAGGGUGUGGGCCCCCUGGUGUAUUUAUUUCGCUCAAAAAUUCUUAUUAAAUCCAACAAGUUGUUUCGUGGAGUUUCAGGACUUUUGGAGCUGUGCAGAAUAGGUUUCCAACGUUUGCUCCUUUUCCAGCCAGAAUUCUAGCUGUCGGCAUUCCCCCUCUUCAUGGUAAACCUUGUAAAAUAAGAGAGAAUAGCCAUAAGUAUUGAGAUAUAAAGUGUAAUAACAGCCCAUAAUGCAAUAAAUAUUGAUAUAAAAGCAUGAUGCAAAAUGGACGUAUCAACUCCCCCAAGCUUAGACCUCGCCUGUCCUUAAGCGGAAGCCGAAAUUGAAAAAUAUGUCCACAUGUUUAGAGAUAGAGGUCUCGAUAAUAAUAAAAUACGGACAUGAGGGCAUCAUGAUCAUUCUAAUAACAACAACAUAUAUUGAUUUUGUCAUAUGAUUUCCUAUGCUCAGGUGACAACCAAUUCACAAUGUCCAGUAUGGUUCAAAAACUUCAUUGGGAACUAACAAACUAUAAUCUCAGUCAUUGAAGCAAUUGCAAUUUAUCGUAACAUCAGAAAGAGUCAACAAUAGAGCUUUUCAGCAAGCUCACAUACUCAACUAUCUUGUAGUCUUCUAUAAUUGCUAACACUCAUGCAAUAUUUGUGGUUAUGGAGUUUCAGCCGGACACUGAGAAAGAUAGGGGCUUAUUGUGUUGCCUCCCAACGUAUUCACCUUUAGGUGAUGUCAACAAUAAUAGCCCAUGCUAAAUUACAUCCAAUUGGAUAUAUGUAUAUCAUGAUCUUUCAAACACGAGGAGCUUGCCAAAGGAUAAAAUGAAAAAGGGAAAGGUGAGGAUCACCUUGACUCAAGCAUAGAGUAAAAACAUAAAGUAAAAGAUAGGCCCUUCGCAGAGGGAAGCAGAGGUUGUCAUGUGCGUUUAGGGUUGAUGUAUAAGAUCUUAAUGCAAAAGAACGUCACUUUAUAUUGCCCCUUGUAUGUGGACCUUUAUUAUGCAGUCCGUCGCUUUUAUCACUUCCACAACAAGUUCGUACAAAGCUUAAUUUCUCUGCACUAAUAAGUCAUACAUAUUUAGAUAGCAAUUUUUAUUGCUUGCAACAUGACAACUUACUUGAAGGAUCUUACUCAAUCCAUAGGUAGGUAUGGUGGACUCUCAUGGCAAAACUGGGUUUAAGGAUAUUGGAAGCACAAGUAGUAUCUCUACUUGGUACAAGGAAUUUGGCUAGCAUGAGGGGGAAAGGCAAGCUCAACAUGUUUGGAAGGUCAAUGACAAUAUACUUUAACUGAGAUGUCGGAAAACAUAAACCAUUACGUUGUCUUCCUUGUCCAACGUCAACUCUUUUAGCAUGUCAUACUUAAUGAGUGCUCCCAAUUAUAAAAGGUGUCCAAGAUAAUAUAUUUAUAUGUGAACCCCUCUUUCCUUAUCACUUCCUAUUAAUUGCAACGAUGACCAAAACUACGUUCAUCAACUCUCAACAAUUUUUAUGCCUCAUACUUUCUAUGUGUGAAGUUAUCACUAUCAAUAAGAUCAAUAUGAACUCUUUUAUUCUUCUUUCUACUUUCUCAAGAUCAUAGCAGCAUAGCAAAGCCCUUGACUCAACACUAAACUUUAUUACAGAUAGCUCACGGACUCGAUUACAAAAAGAGAUCACAAUGCAAAACUCAAAACUACUUGAUAUCGAAACUUCAAUCUACUAGAUCAAGAUACUACUAAAAGGAUCAAACUAAAUAAAGCGGUAAAGAUAGGAGUGUGAUGGUGAUACGAUACCGGGACACCUCCCCCAAGCUUGGCAGUUGCCAAGGGGAGUGCCCAUACCCAUGUGAUUAUUUCUCCUUCUUCACGGUUGGUGUUAUGAUCUUCUUGGCAAUGAUGCCCUUCAGGAUACGGUUCUCCUCCUCGAGCUUAUUGACUUGUUGUUUGAGGUCCAUAAUUUCUUUACGGAGCUUGCCCGUAACGGCCAAAGCUCCUUUCACCCAAGGAUGCUGCAUAGCUUCUGGAGAACAAGUGAAACUCUUUUUCAUAUUGUCAUAAGUAAGAAAUCUAGAGUUGGAAGGAGUGACCGAAGUAGGGACAGCCAGGCUAGGUAGUUCCCCCAUAGUGAAUUCUGCUCAUAGACGAGAGGUAACUUCUUGAUCCUCCUCCAUGGCAUCUAUUCUUUUCAAAUCAGCCUCCAUCUCAUCCUCUGUUGAUGGUCCAAAGUGAUAGGCAUCGCUAUUUGCUCCGGGACCUGGCGUUGGGUGAGACACCCGACUCUCCCCAACUGACUCCUAAGAAGACAUCUUGCUUUAUUCUGCAAUAGGAACAGCUUGAAACGAAAAUAGAGGAUAUUUGCGUGAUACGGUGGUCAAAACCUUCGUGAGUAUAUAUAAUGAAUUUUUACCGCCCAAAAUACGUAACGUGCAAGAAAACGGAGUCCGGGAGGCACACGAGGUGCCCACGAGACAGGGGGCGCCCUACACACUCGUGGGAGGCUCGUGUCCCUUUCGAACUACUUCUUUCUUCCUAAAAUUCUUAAAUAAUCCAAAACUGAUAAAAUUGCCAUUGGAGUUGUUUUGGAGUCGGUUUACUUACCGUACCACAUACAUAUACCCUUUCGGAGUCUGGAACGUUCUGGAAAGUGUCCCUUAUGUAUUCCUCAGGGGUUACGGUUUCAAUAAUAUUAGUUUCAACAUUAAUAGGAUUACCUAAAAUAUAGUGUUUAAUUCUUUGACCGUUUACCACCCUUGGACUUGUGCCUUCGAAGUUGUUGAUUUUUAUGGCACCAAAACAAUAGACCUCCUCGAUAACAUAGGGACCUUCCCAUUUUGAGAGAAAUUUUCCUGCAAAAAAUAUUAAACGGGAGUUGAAUAAUAAUACAUAAUCUCCUACGUUAAACUCACGCUUUUGUAUCCUCUUAUCAUGCCAGCGUUUGACUUUUUCUUUGAAUAGCUUGGCAUUCUCAUACACUUGGGUUCUCCAUUCAUCAAGUGAGCUAAUAUCAAACAACCUCUUCUCACCGGCAAGUUUGAAAUCAUAAUUGAGCUCUUUAAUAGCCCAAUAUGCCUUAUGUUCAAGUUCAAGAGGUAAAUGACACGCUUUUCCAUAAACCAUCUUAUAUGGAGACAUACCCAUAGUAUUUUUUAUGCAAUUCUAUAGGCCCAUAAUGCAUCAUCAAGUUUUUUGGACCAAUUCUUUCUAGAUCUAUUCACAGUCUUUUGCAAAAUUAAUUUGAGCUCUCUAUUGCUCAACUCUACUUGACCACUAGACUGCGGAUGAUAAGGAGAUGCGAUUCUAUGAUUGACAUCAUACUUAGCAAGCAUCUUACGGAAAGCACCAUGAAUAAAAUGUGAACCACCAUCAGUCAUAAGAUAUCUAGGGACUCCAAACCUCGGAAAAAUAACUUCUUUAAGCAUUUUAAUAUAAGUGUUAUGAUCAGCACUACUAGUUGGAAUAGCUUCUACCCACUUAGUAAUGUAAUCAACAGCAACUAAAAUAUGUGUAUAACCAUUAGAGGCAGGAAAAGGUCCGAUAUAAUCAAAGCCCCAAACAUCAAACGGUUCAAUAACAAGAGAAUAUGAAAGUGCGUUAUAUCGACUAGAGGGGGGUGAAUAGGUGAUUUUUAUGAAUUCUUCACUGAGGAAUUUGCUGGUGAGGAAAUUCCUUAGCGAAGAACUACUUGCAGCAGAAUAAGUACUCAGAAGUAAGCAUAACAGAAUACAAGCAUGGUCAUCAUGAUGAAAUGAAGACUAGCACAGAGUACCGAAAGCGUAAACACAGGAUAACACAAGAUGAAGACAAACAGACUGAAGAAAUUGAACUGAGGAAUUUGAGAAAGUCUUCAGUCAAAGUCUUCAAGCACAUAUAUGAACAAACACUCAACACAGUAAUGAGGAAAUGAAAGGGUUGAGGAAAUAGAACCAGUUAGUUGGUGAAGACAAUGAUUUGGUAGACCAGUUCCAACUACUAUCUCAGUUGUACGUCUGGUUGGAGCGGCUGAGUAUUUAAACUCGAGGACACGCAGUCCCGGACACCCAGUCACUAAGCACGCAGCUCAGGACACCCAGUCCUCACCGUAUUCUCCUUGAACUAAGGCCACGCAGACCUCGUCCAAUCACUCGUGGUAAGUCUUCAGGCGACUUCCAAACCUUCACAGACUUGGUCACCUGGCGAUCCACAAUUCCUCUUGGAUGCUCUAGACCAUGACGCCUAACCGUCUGGAAGAAGCACAGUCUUCAAAGGUAACAAGCGUCGGAUCCACGCAGGAUCAAUUUCUUCAGUGAUGCUCAAUCACUUUGGGUUUGUAGGGGUUUGGUUUUGGGUUUUCCUCACUUGAUGAUUUUCGCUCAAAGUCCUCGGAGGAUGGGUUGCUCUCAAAUGACAAGUGUCAAGUUCUCUCGGAGCAGCCAACCAACUAGUGGUUGUAGGGGGCGGCUAUUUAUAGCCUAGGGAGCAGCCCGACAUGAUAAGACAUAAAUGCCCUUCAAUGAUAUGACCGUUAGGUGUAUAGGAUAUUUUGGGACAGCUGGCGCGCAGCACAGCAACGGUCAGAAAUUUGACUCUCAAAUUCCUUAGGGCUAUCAUGUUCCUCACUGUGUAGGCAAUUCGCACUGGCGAAUUCCUAACUCCUCAGUUAGAACAAAUUCAUCAGCGACCAGAAGAACUCCGUCUCUGUCACUGAAGAAAAUGACUGAACUGUAUGAGAUUUCCAAAGGCUUCACUCGAAGGGAUUGGUAGGUGUAGGAUUUUGAGUUGAGCAUCACAUGGAAAUUUUUCCUUAGUAUUUCCUCGACCCCCUUUAACAGUACGGUGUUUCCUAUGACUCAAGAAAGAGAAAAUGAAACUACGAAAACAAAAAUCUUCACGCUUCAUGUUCCUCAAAUGAAUACUAAGUCUUCAAGGUCACACCAAUUUCUUCACUUUCAAAGUCUUCAGAAAGUCUUCAGAAUAUCAAAGUCUUCAGUCAAAGAACUUCAUUUUUAGGGGUCGACUUUCUCUGUAAAUAUCAAACUCCUCAUAGACUUAUAGACCUGUGUACACUCACAAACGCAUCAGUCCCUUAACCUAUAAGUCUUCAAUACACCAAAAUCACUAAGGGGCACUAGAUGCACUUACAAUCUCCCCCUUUUUGGUGAUUGAUGACAACAUAGGUUAAGUUUUCAACGGGGAUAAACAUACGAAGUGUAAAUACUGAUAUUGAGGAAUUUGAUUGCAAGAUAUAGAAGAACUCCCCCUGAAGAUGUGCAUAGUGAGGAAUUUGCUUUUGAGGCAAUGCACAUUUAAAGAGUUGAAUCAUGGAGAUCUCCCCCUAUAUCUUGUAAUUCAUACACGCAUUUGAUAUAUAAUAUGAAGAAUUUGAAAUGCAUGAUGAAAUAUGGUGCCUGAUGAAAUUCAGCAUGCGUGCAAUGUUAUUAACGAGGAAUAAGAAUGCCGAAAGCAUCAAAAGUUUCAGAGCAUAAUGCAACAAAAGUAUCAGCGCACCAUCGGGUUUAAGAUUACAACUCGAUCCAAGUAAGAGUUUCAGAAGAACGAGAGUUGUAACUUAACAAAAUGCCCUUAAUAUAGACCCGCUUGAAGACUAACUCAGAUUUCUCCCCCUUUGUCAUCAAAUGACCAAAAGGGUUGAAACUGAGGACUAACGCCCCUGAAGAAUUUCAAGUCGAUGGAGGAGCGCCAGCGUUGUCGGGGUUGUUUGUUGUAGCAGGGCCUGCCGCAGUGUCGUCCAAAUCUUCAUACUCAUCAGUGUCACGCGAUGAAGAAUAAGAGCUGGCCACCAGUGGAGGAACUUUGACCCUCUUGAAUUUCUUCGGAGGAGGUGCAGACCAGUCAAAUUCUUCGUUGAGACCCAUAGUCUUCAGUUCUUCAGCGCUAUAGACAUGAGUGAGGACAGCCCAGGUGCGGUUGAGGGUUUCAUGAAGGUAGUAAUGGUUCUUCUUCACUUCAUUGUGUGUUGAGGUCAUGUUGUGAAGAAUUGCACCAAACUGACGCUUUACCCAUUUGUGAUUGCGAUCAACCUUCUGAUGAAGACUGAGGAGUAACUCAUGGUCAGUCAUCACCCUGGGUGCUAUGGCUUGAGGAUUUUGCUUGGCUGAGGUGUUUGCGGCAGUGUCAUGUGUGGCAGAGUCGUCAUUGGUUGAGUAAGAUGCAGCAAGGCAAAAUUGACCAUCCAAUGGACGAAUGCCUUCAUCGAUCACAGCAGCUGCCUUGUCUUUAUCAUCAGAUGAAGAAACUGGCCGUUUAAGGACUUCAAUGGGAGGCAAGUAGCUACCGUGGUUCAUAGUGUCAGCUUUGUAAUUCAGUGAAGAUCUUACCCUUAUGAAUCUCAUAAUCCAAGGCGCAUAGGGCUUCAGCUCGAAUGGUGACAUAGCAACAUUUGCCAGAGUCCUCAUGAAGAAAUCAUGAAAGUUGACGGGAACGCCAUGAAUGAUGUUGAAGAGCAUAUUCUUCAUGAUGCCAACGACUUCUUCAUCAUUUGAGUCGUGGCCUUUGAUAGGACUCAUUGUCUUCGUCAAAAUGCGAUAGACAGUCCGAGGCACAUAGAGUAAUUCCUUGAUGAGGAAUUUGGUUCGUGGGGCCUGCCCUGGCUUCAAAGGCUUCAUAAGCACUUGCAUAUAGUGAUUUGUCAGUUCAGGAUCACCGUAGAUGCAACAUGCACUAUCAUGGGGAGGAUCGAGAGGAAGGACACGAAGCAAUUCAGUUGCUGGUGCCUUGUAGUGAGUGUUUUCAGUCAUCCAAUCCAACACCCAUGAGUUGACAUCUUCAGCGUCUCCAGUGAUAUGCAAUGUAGCAUAGAAUUGAAGAAUGAGUUCUUCAUUCCAAUCACAGAUGUCAAUGCAGAAAUUGAGUAAUCCCGCAUCGUGAAGAACACUGAGGACUGGCUCGAAGCAUGGCAGAGAUUCCAUAUCCACGUGAGGAAUAUGUUCAUGAUCGAAGAUUUUGUCUUUGUCAAACAGCACUGAGGAAUAGAAGUUGGCUUGACUAGCAGUCCAGAAACGCCUCUUCCUUAUGCGAGCAGAGUCAUAGGGGUUGUAGUCAGUGAAGAAUACAUGCUCGGAAAAGAAGUCUUCAUCCUUGAACUUCUGUUUGCUUGAGAACGGAUUCUUCGGCUUUGGCAGAGGGGUGUCAGUGAGUUGCAAUACCACCUCAGGAAUCGCGAGCUCAGGUUCUUCAGGCUGAGGAAUUUCUGGUUCCUCUUCUUGUGCAACCUGAUGAUCAGCAGUAGCAGGUUCUUCAGCACUAGCGGCUGGAAUAUCUUCAUGAACAGAGGGAGUGGGAUGAGUUUCUUCAGAGCCCAGUUGAACUGUUGUUGCCGGGGACUGAGGAAUCUGUUGGAUAGGUGUGAAUAGAGGAGUAUUGGGAUGCUGACUUUCCCAAAAGUCAUCAUUCAUCACAGGUGUGGUGCAUCCUAUAUCCACAUCUUCAUCUUCAAUUUCCUCAACACCAGCCUCUUCAGCUGUGAACUGAGGCAUAGGUGAGGAAAUGACUGGCGUUGAAGGGAUUGCGUCCACUUCAAUUUCUUCAUCAAUCUGCCCUGACGAAGCAGCAGAAUGUUUUUCUUCAUCAGAUCCGCUUGGGAUCUUAUAGUCUUCUCCAAAAGGAACAAUUUCCUUUGAUGACAUGGAGGAAAUUGGAACAGCAUCAAUUGGAUGUUCAAGUGAGCUGGUCAUUGGCUUCAUUUUCUUCGCAGACGAAGAAUUUGACGCAGCUGAUGCCUUCCUUUUCUUCACUGCAGCUCGCUCUACAGCCUUGGUCUUCUUCACCUCAUAGGCAGAUGGAAGAAUUGGAGUUGGUGUAGGCGCAAGAGGAGCUGAGGAAUCUGGUUGAAUUUCUUCAGGCGCAACUGAUGCAGUUGCCCUGAUCUCUUCAGUUUCUUCAGGCGCACCACUAGUGGAUGCCCUGGCAAUUUCUUCAGCGGCUGGUAUUUCUUCAUCAGCCCUGGAACUAGCAUUUUCUUCAGCAGGCUGAAAGUCAUCAGCGAUGCUGGCAUGUUCUUCAGCAGGCUGAGCAGAGUCUGCAGCCUGAGGGUUUUCUUGUUGCGAUGGGGCUGCAACAUUUGUCAAUUUCUUCUUCAGAUUGAUGAAUCUCACUUUGGCUCCUUGCCAAUCAGCAUAGUAGGCAUCAAAGUCUUUGCUGAGGGCUUGAAUCUCAGACUGAGCCUGGAGAAGUUCCUCAGGUGUCAUUCUGACAACAUUUUUCUUCAGGAGCUUCUCCUUUCUGUAUUGAGCUUUCUUGAUCUCUCUUGCCUUUUCAAACUUCCAUUUCUCUUGAGUGAUGAAAUGGGUCAGCAUGUGACUUUGACCAGGAGUCAGAGGAAAAUCAGGCAUUGGGGUGUUUGGAUCCUUGUGCCAGAGAUCAAUGUAAUCGAGGAUUUUCUUUGGAUCCAAAAGCGGUGGCACAGAUGUGCCUUUGGCUCUAGCGGCCUUCACCUGUUUGUCUCUGAUGAUUUCUGCAAGUUCAUCAUUAGAAGCUUCAUCAUCAGAGGGCACAUGGAAUGCGACCUGUUUCUUCCUUGGACUUGGCCGAGGACCGCGUCCAGCUGUUGCUUUAGUCUUCAACAGUGUGGGGCCUGAUGAGGACAUUGGUGCAGCUGAGGAACUUGCUGAGACACCAGAGGCAAUUGAAAAACCAGUAGUCCUUUGACAUGUAGCCAGAUGCACAGGAGCUGAGGAGUUUGAUGGAGCAGUAGCAGUCUGAGGAAUUUGCCGUGAGGGCAUAGCUGAGGAACUUGGCCGUGAGGGCGCUGUUGGUGAGGCACUUGGCUUACGAGCAGGCUUCUUUGGCAUAGAUUUCCUUGGUCUGACCGAGUCCUCAAUAGCAGCAGCUGUGGCAGAAUCCUCAUUGAAUUUCUUCACUGCCUCCUUGGCUUGUCUUGCCAAUUUAGCUUGGCGCUUAGCCCAUUCUUCAGGAAAGUCCUCACCACUUUUGAUGCUGGUGGGAUCGGCUACUUGGCCAGGUGCCAAUGGAGCUCUUGGGCAUGGAGGAUUUAAAGCAAAUUUCUUCAUAUACUUUGGAGUCACAUAUCUGUACUCCCUCCAUUCUCUUGCCCAUCUCCGUUCAAUCUUCUGUAUGUGCACCUUGCGCUGAUUUUUGGUUUCUUUGCCAAAAUUUGGUUCAUUAGGUGUGCAAUAGCCAGCAUAAAUUUCAUCAGGGAUCUCGAAAGCAGUCAUGACCUCAGGCUUCUUUCCUCCUUUCUGCGGUCUCUUACCUUCAGCCAUAUUCUUCAGACGAGGAAUUUGAACAAUUGAACACUCUGAAGAAGUAUGCAAUUUUUCUUCAAGGAACGCUGCAAAUGAGUUAAGUUGAUGAGAACCUAGUGAUUCAGCAGCGGACAUGAGUACCUGUGAACAGAGUAUAGGUGCGAGGAAUUUGGAGAGGUCAUAUGCGUUCUCAGAAGGUUUUUUUUUCGAAAAGACAAGUUUUGAGGAAUUUGACCAGAUGAGCCUUGAGGAAUUUCACUAAGCGUUCGUUGUCUUAGGUUCCAGAGUUGUACAGAUCGAAGAUCCACACAAUUGAGGAAUCUUGAAGAAAAUGAUUGCUUAGAGAAAUGGAUCAAGAGCAUAUAAUGUGUGAGGUGUUCAUAUGUGUGAAGAUUUGAAGAAUAAACACCUUUGAAGAUUUUCAGGAAAGUUUGAGAAUCAAAGCGAGUAAUAAAAGUAACUUUUAAUUACCCGAAGUGAAGAACACGACGAACUGAGAUGAACAGCUGUGAAGUUCGUCAGGUUAGAUCUCCCACGCCCUAACUUGGCAGAGGGAAACAGCUACGGCGGCGGCGGAGUGAAGAUUUCCACAACCGGCGCGAGUACGACGGCGACGAGGUUGAGGCAGCGAAGCUCUUCCUCACCAGCGAUGAUGGAGUAGCGGCGGCGCUAGGGUUUGAGGAGCUCGAGCGAGAGAGAGAGCGGUCGAGCAGAGUAAAUGAAGUGAGGAAGGGGAGAGGGGUAUUUAUAGCCACGGUGAAAAACUGUUCGCCCGAAGAUUUUGGGACGAACAUGCCCCUGCCCUUUCUCCUUCUCGCGACAUGUGUCACCCACGUACAGUGUAGUUGAGAUCGUGUAAGAUCGUGGGUGAAUAAAAUAAUGCAUCAUGGGAUGCGGAACGGUUUGAGCGGCAAAACCGAAAAUCUGGAUAAGAUUUGUUUUAAAGUUUCGUUCGCAAUUUCUUCAGCUGACAAGGACACAGUGAAGAUUUUGAACGAGUUUCAAAUAGAACGCACAUGAAGAAUUUGUGAAUAGAUUGGGUUGAGUAUAGCAUAGAGGGGGAAGGGUCCGAUCACAUUCACUUAGCAGAAAAAGCAACUUGAAGAAAUAGAUAUAAGUGAAUGCUGUAGAGGACAUAAACUCAUAUAUAUGUAUAUAGCCAAUGAAGAAAAACGACGGAAACAAUGAAUAUUUUGCAAAGUUGAAGAAUUUGAAAAACUGAAGAAUUUCAAAAACUGAGGAAAAACUCAAAUUGAAGAUUUUCAACUUUUUGUGGUGGCAUGACCCACCGUAUAAGAAUGAUGAUUUCAGACACCGCGUACAAUUGUCGUAGGGUUCUGAGAAUCAAAUUCUUCUUUAAUUUCUUCACACUUAGAGUGUUAUUCUUCAUUGAUUGAAGAAAAAUGUUUCUUCAUGUGUUGCACAUCUAAGUCAUCAAUUUUGCAUAAGUGUUAGGAUGUGUGUCCUUUUCAAAGAACGUUCGAAGAUUCUAAGAUAUUUAGCUCACACCGCAACUUGCUAAAUCUCUUCUCAUCCAAGGGCUUAGUGAAGAUAUCAGCUAGCGGUUCUUCAGUCUUCACGUGCUCGAUGGAGAUGUCGCCCUUCAACACAUGAUCACGAAGAAAAUGAUGACGAAUCUGAAUGUGCUUUGUCUUCGAGUGCUAAACUGGGUUGUGAGCAAUCUUGAUGGCACUCUCAUUGUCGCAGAGGAGAGGCACAUUCUUCACGUUGACGCCAUAGUCCUUGAGGGUUUGCUUCAUCCAAAGCAGUUGAGCACAGCAAGAGCCAGCAGCAAUGUAUUCAGCUUCUGCAGUAGACAGUGAUACGCAGUUCUGUUUCUUCGAGGACCAACAGACCAAAGAUCGUCCGAGGAAAUGACAAGUGCCAGAUGUUGACUUGCGGUCCACACGAUCACCAGCAUAGUCAGAGUCAGAAUAUCCAAUGAGAUCAAAAGCAGAGCCCUUGGGGUACCAUAAUCCUAGUGUUGGUGUGUGAGCUAGAUAUCGAAGAAUAUGCUUCACAGCCUUAUGGUGUGAUUCCUUCGGUGCAGCUUGAAAUCGGGCACACAUGCAAACACUAAGCAUUAUAUCUGGCCUAGAUGCACAUAAGUACAAUAAAGAACCAAUCAUGGAGCGAUAUACCUUGUGAUCGAAGUCAAUACCAUUUUCAUUAGUGCAUAGAUGGCCAUUUGUGGGCAUAGGAAUUUUGACGUCUUUGCAAUCUUGCAUGCCGAAUUUCCUCAGUACAUCUUUGAGGUAUUUCUCCUAAGAUAUGAAUAUGCCAUUGUGCUACUGACGAAUUUGAAGACCCAAGAAGAAUUUCAACUAUCCCAUCAUAGACAUUUGAUAUUCUUCACUCAUCAUAUAGGCAAAUUCAUCACUAUAACGUUGGUCAGUACAACCAAAGAUAAUAUCAUCAACAUAUAUUUGGCACACAAAUAGUUCACCAUCAUAAGAUUUAGAGUAGGGUCGAGUGAACCUGAUGUGCAGCCAUUCUUCAUAAAGAAUUCCUUCAAUGUAUCAUACCACGCCCAAGGGGCUUGCUUGAGGCCAUAGAGGGCCUUAUUAAGUCUGAAGACUUUGUCAGGAUUCUUUGGAUCUUCAAAACUUGGGGGUUGAGCAACAUAUACUUCUUCCUCAAGCUUACCAUUGAGGAAUGCACUUUUCACAUCCAUUUGAUAUAAGAUGAUAUCAUGAUGGUUAGCAUAAGCAAGUAAUAUGCGAAUACCUCAAGUCUAGCAACAGGUGCAAAAGUUUCAUCGAAAUCAAUUCCUUCAACCUGUGUGUAGCCUUGAGCUACUAGUCGUGCCUUAUUCCUCACCACAAGGCCACUUUCAUCUUGCUUGUUGCGGUAGAUCCACUUUGUGCCAAUGAUAUUAUGCUUGCGAGGAUCUAGACGAUUGACCAGUUCCCAGACAUUGUUAAGCUCGAACUGAUGUAAUUCUUCUUGCAUAGCCUGAAUCCACUCCGGCUCCAUAAAUGCUUCAUCUACCUUAGUGGGCUCUGUGAUAGAGACAAAAGCAUAGUGUCCACAAAAGUUAGAUAAAUGUGAAGCUUUUGAGCGUGUGAGAGGACCUGGUGCACUAAUGUCAUCGAUGAUCUUCUCCACUUGCACUUCUUUUGCAAUGCGAGGAUGAGCUGGUUGUCGCUGAGGAAUUUGAUCAGCAUUUUCAUCAGCACCAUUUUCCUCAGCAUUUUCUUCAGGUGCAUCAGCUCGACGUUCUUCAUGAACUGGAAUGAAUUCUUCAGCAGAUUCUUCAGUAGGAAUGACAUCCUCAGUUGCCUUGAACUUGAUGGAAUCCUCAGGUGCUGGUUCAUCCAACACAGAAGGUAGGUGCUCUCUUUGCGAGCCAUUAGUUUCAUUGAACCGCACAUUUACAGUGCCAACAAUCUUGUGAAGAACAAUGUUGAAGACUCUGUAGGUGUGCGAGUCCUUUCCGUAACCAAGCAUAAAACCUUCAUGUGCUUUCGGUGCAAAUUUAGAGUUGUGGUGAGGAUCUCUAAUCCAACAUUUAGCACCGAAGACUUUGAAAUAACUCACAUUGGGUUUCUUGUCAGUGAGGAGUUCAUAGGCCGUCUUCUUGAAGAAUUUGUGAAGAUAUACUCUGUUGAUGAUGUGGCACGCAGUAUCAAUUGCAUCAAUCCAAAAACGCUGGGGCGUUUUGUAUUCAUCAAGCAUAGUGCAAGCCAUCUCAACAAGAGUUCUGUUCUUGCGCUCCAUGACGCCAUUUUGCUGUGGAGUAUAGGGAGCAGAUAACUCAUGAGUAAUACCAAGUUCAUCAAGAUAAUCAUCAAGACCGGAAUUCUUGAACUCAGUUCCAUUGUCACUUCUGAUGUGCUUGAUCUUCACACCAAAGUUGGUUGAAGCCCUCGAGGAAAAUCGUUUGAAGACUUCCUGCACUUCAUGUUUGUAAGUAACAAUGUGUACCCAUGUAUAUCGAGAGUUAUCAUCAACAAUGACAAAACCAUAUAGAGAUGCAUCAUUAGUGACUGCUGAGUAAUGAUUAGGUCCGAAGAGGUCCAUGUGAAGCAAUUCGAAUGGACGAGUAGUGGUCAUGAUAGUCUUCGCUGGAUGCUUGGCCUUGGUCACUUUUCCAGCUUCACAGGCUCCGCAUAAGUGAUCUUUGAGGAAUUUGACAUUCUCAAUGCCAAUGACAUGCUUCUUCUUUGCAAGCGUGUGCAAAUUCCUCAUGCCUGCGUGACCAAGUCGUCGAUGCCAUAGCUAGCCUUCUGAAGCUUUUGCAAGUAGACACACGGCUGGUUGUGGUCCUGUAGAGAAAUCAACAAUAUACAAAUCUCCUCUCCUAAAGCCUUCGAAGACUUUGGAAUUGCCAGCUUCCAUAAUCACAACACAUCGAUACUUGCCAAAGACAACAACCAUAUCAAGAUCACAAAGCAUUGAGACUGACAUGAGAUUGUAUCCUAAGGACUCAACAAGCAUGACUUUGUCCAUGUGUUUAUCCUUAGAGAUUGCAACCUUACCAAGACCCAAUACCUGACUUUUGCCUUUGUCAGCAAAGAUGAUAUGCUUCAGAUGUGACGAUGAUAAGGGAGCAUCCAUCAAUAGAUUCUUGUCACCAGUCAUGUGAUUCAUACAUCCACUAUCGAGGACCCACUCACUAGCUUUGGGUUGAUCAUCAUGCAGAUGAAUUAGUGUAGCUUACAAUCUCAUAUGCUUCAUCAGUGAAGAAUAUGAUAUCAAGUUCAUCAGAUGAAUUUCAUCAAGCUGUAAACAGAUGUAGCAGAAUUAGGACGUGUGAAAUGAAGGUUCAUUUCAUCAUGAUUCGCCUGCGUCCUUUCAGGCAUUUUCGUCAGGUCCCCAGCAAAUUCUUCACCACCCACAUCUGGAGGGGUGGCAUUUUCGUCUGGAGACCUAACCCUACAGAAGAGAUUAGUUCUUUUUCUUCACCACCCACAUCUGGAGGGGUGGCAAAGAAUUCAUCACUCUGCGAGCACCAUAUGAUAAAGGUGGCAAAGAUGCCAAACCAUUUCGUUUCACAUAAGAGGGGUUAGGGUAAGCAUAUGAAUAAGCAAAGAAAUUCUUUGAGGACUUAUGAACAUAAUGGUUUGAAGAAUAAUGCACAUAUUCAUAGCCCUUAGCUCUACCCUGCGAGACAAAGUUGUUACCACGAUGAUAAUCAUAUCAGGACUUUGAUCCUUUUGAGGAAUUUGAUCCAUGUGAAGAAUUUGGUCCGUAUGAGGACUUGGAUCCAUAUGAAGAAUUUGGUCCAUAUGAAGAAUUUGAUCUGGGGUUCCUGUCCUUCACAGGUGGUGUCAUGAGGACAUUCACCUGAAGACUUUCAAGGCACUUCUUGGGAACCCAGAUUUUCUUCAUAGGGGAACCAUUCCUGCAGUUAGUGCCAACAUAUCUAGCAAAUACUUCACCAUUCUGAUUUCUGAACAGUUUAUAGUUGGAGUCAAUUGACUCAUCAGAAGAAUGAGGAGAUUCACAUGUAAAUCCAGAUAAGUUAGAUGGAUCAACUGGAGGUCCCUUUGUAGCAACCCAUGAGGUUUUGGGGUACUGCUCAGGCUUCCAACAUGUUCCAUCAGCAUUAAGUUUCCUCUCAAAGGCAAUACCCUCUUUCCUAGGGUUUCUAUUGAGGAUCUGCUUUUUAAGCACAUCACAAAGAGUCUGAUGCCCUUUGAGGCUUUUGUACAUGCCUGUCAUGUACAAUUCCUUCAGCCCAGCAUUGUCAGUGAUACUAGCAAUGUCCUCAGAUGAGGAAUUAGUGAUAGCAGAGGCAGGUGAAGAAUUUGUAACAGUUGAAGCAUUUGAACAUUCAGGUGAAGAAUUACCAGAUUCACGUUCAAUGCACUUUAAGCAUGGAGGAGCAAAUUCUUCUUGAGAAGCACUGAUUUGUUGAGCUAGUAAUGAAUCGCGCUCCUUCAGAAGAUCUUCAUAACACACCCUUAGCUUUUCAAGAUCUUCCUUUCUUUGAAGAGAUUCAGAAGAAAGCUUCUCAUGAUCUGUCAAGAGGGUAUUAUGUUGAUCUUGAAGGGCGUCAAACUUGGAGUGAAUUCUCUGAAGACAUUCACCCAAUGCUUUUGACUGAUCCAUUGCUUUACCCAACAUAUCUUCACUUCUGUCUAGCAUGCUUUGAACUUGCUCCAAAGCCGUUUGUUGUUUAGUGGCAAUGCAAACAAGUUUGGUAUAGCAAGAUUCAAUAUCAUCAUCAGAUUCAUCAUUAUCAGAUUCAUCAUUAUCAGAUUCAUCGUCACAAAACUCGGAUGAGGAGCAUUCGGUUACCUCAGCACCGUUUGCCAUGAGACAUGAUGUAGAAGAUGAUGAUUCUGGCUCGAAAGUCAUCGUUUUGAGAGAUUCCUUGAAGUCCUCAAACUAGGGAUCAUGACGGGUUCGAUGACCUUCAUACACAUCAGAGAUUCGGUCCCAGAUAAGCUUCGCUUUACAAAGAUGCAUAAUGCGCCUGAAUUCAUCUCUGGAUAGGCAGGAACAGAUGAUAUCCUUCGCCAAGAUGUCAAGUCGAGUGUACUUGCGAAUAUCAUCAGCGUCCGCCAUCUUGCAUAGAUCAGUAAGACCAAUCUCAGUGACGGUACACAGCUCGCUAUUGAUUGCCAUGAGGCGCUUCCUCAUCAUGGCCUUCCACUUGGGAUAAUCAUGACCGUCAAAGAUAGGGCAUGUCACUUUCUUCAUACCUGCGGUCGACAUAACUAAAACUCCAGGCGGUUAAACCAAAAUCACACAGAACAAGGGAGUACCUCGCUCUGAUACCAAUUGAAAGUGCGUUAUAUCGACUAGAGGGGGUGAAUAGGCGAUUUUUAUGAAUUCUUCACUGAGGAAUUUGCUGGUGAGGAAAUUCCUUAGCGAAGAACUACUUGCAGCGGAAUAAGUACUCAGAAGUAAGCAUAACAGAAUACAAGCAUGGUCAUCAUGAUGAAAUGAAGACUAGCACAGAGUACAGAAAGCGUAAACACAGGAUAACACAAGAUGAAGACAAACAGACUGAAGAAAUUGAACUGAGGAAUUUGAGAAAGUCUUCAGUAAAAGUCUUCAAGCACAGAUAUGAACAAACACUCAACACAGUAAUGAGGAAAUGAAAGGGUUGAGGAAAUAGAACCAGUUAGUUGGUGAAGACAAUGAUUUGGUAGACCAGUUCCAACUGCUGUCUCAGUUGUACGUCUGGUUGGAGCGGCUGAAUAUUUAAACUCGAGGACACGCAGUCCCGGACACCCAAUCACUGAGCACGCAGCUCAGGACACCCAGUCCUCACCGUAUUCUCCUUGAACUAAGGCCACGCAGACCUCGUCCAAUCACUCGUGGUAAGUCUUCAGGCGACUUCCAAACCUUCACAGACUUGGUCACUCGGCGAUCCACAAUUCCUCUUGGAUGCUCUAGACCAUGACGCCUAACCGUCUGGAAGAAGCACAGUCUUCAAAGGUAACAAGCGUCGGAUCCACGCAGGAUCAAUUUCUUCAGUGAUGCUUAAUCACUUUGGGUUUGUAGGGGUUUGGUUUUGGAUUUUCCUCACUUGAUGAUUUUCGCUCAAAGUCCUCGAAGGAUGGGUUGCUCUCAAAUGACAAGUGUCAAGUUCUCUCGGAGCAGCCAACCAACUAGUGGUUGUAGGGGGCGGCUAUUUAUAGCCUAGGGAGCAGCCCGACAUGAUAAGACAUAAAUGCCCUUCAAUGAUAUGACCGUUAGGUGGAUAGGAUAUUUUGGGACAGCUCGCGCGCAGCACAGCAACGGUCGGAAAUUUGACUCUCAAAUUCCUCAGGGCUAUCAUGUUCCUCACUGUGUAGGCAAUUCGCACUGGCGAAUUCCUAACUCCUCAGUUAGAACAAAUUCAUCAGCGACCAGAAGAACUCCGUCUCUGUCACUGAAGAAAAUGACUGAACUGUAUGAGAUUUCCAAAGGCUUCACUCGAAGGAAUUGGUAGGUGUAGGAUUUUGAGUUGAGCAUCACAUGGAAAUUUUUCCUUAGUAUCUCCUCGACCCCCUUUAACAGUACGGUGUUUCCUAUGACUCAAGAAAGAGAAAAUGAAACUACAAAAACAAAAGUCUUCACGCUUCAUGUUCCUCAAAUGAAUACUAAGUCUUCAAGGUCACACCAAUUUCUUCACUUUCAAAGUCUUCAGAAAGUCUUCAGAAUAUCAAAGUCUUCAGUCGAAGAACUUCAUUUUUAGGGGUCGACUUUCUCUGUAAAUAUCAAACUCCUCAUAGACUUAUAGACCUGUGUACACUCACAAACGCAUCAGUCCCUUAACCUAUAAGUCUUCAAUACACCAAAAUCACUAAGGGGCACUAGAUGCACUUAUAGAAUAAUUCAUAGGCAUUUCUUGACGUCUGCUAAUGUUACCUAUUCUUUGACAUUCAUCAUAAGAUAAGACAAACUUACGAGCAUCUUUAAAGAGAGUAGGCCAAUAAAAACCAGAUUGUCGUACCUUGUGUGCAGUUCUAUCUCCAGCGUGGUGUCCUCCAUAGUAUUCAGAGUGACACUUGCAUAGAAUCUGUUCCUAUUCAUGCUCAGGCACACAACGUCUAAUAACACCAUCUACUACUUCUUUAUAAAGGUGUGGAUCAUCCCAGAAGUAAUGUCUUAAAUCAUAAAAAGAACUUUUUCUUUUGCUGGUAUGUGAAACUAGGCGGUAUAAAUUUAGCAACAAUGUAAUUAGCAUAAUCAGCAUACCAAGGAGCAGUACGAGAAGCACUGACGACCGCUAAUUGUUCAUCAGGGAAGCUAUCAUUAAUAGGCAGUGGGUCAUCAAGAACAUUCUCUAACCUAGACAAGUUGUCUGCAACGGGGUUCUCGGCUCCCUUUCUAUCAAUAAUAUGCAAGUCAAAUUCUUGGAGCAAGAGAACCCAUCUAAUGAGUCUAGGCUUAGCAUCUUUCUUUUCCAUAAGAUAUUUAAUAGCAGCAUGAUCAGUGUGAAUAGUAACUUUGGAAUCAACAAUAUAAGGUCUAAACUUAUCACAUGCAAACACAACUGCUAAGAACUCUUUUUUAGUAGUAGCAUAAUUUCUCUGGGCAGUAUCAAGAGUCUUACUAGCAUACUGGAUAACAUUCAAUUUCUUGUCGACUCUUUGCCCUAGAACAGCACCUACUGCAUAAUCACUAGCAUCGCACAUAAUUUCAAAAGGUAAAUUCCAAUCAGGUGGCUGAAUAAUAGGUGCAGUGAUCAAAGCUUUCUUAAGUAUUUCAAAUGCUUCUACACAAUAAUCAUCAAAGACAAAAGGAAUACCUUUUUGCAAUAAAUUAGUCAGAGGCCUAGAGAUUUUAGAAAAGUCCUUAAUGAACCUCCUAUAAAAACCGGCAUGACCGAGGAAACUUCUUAUACCUUUUAUGUCCUUGGGACAUGGCAUCUUUUCAAUAGCAUCAACUUUGGCUUUAUCAACUUCAAUUCCUCUCUCGGAGAUCUUGUGCCCCAAGACAAUGCCUUCAUUAACCAUAAAGUGACACUUAUCCCAAUUCAGGAUGAGACUAGUAUCUUCGCAUCUCUGCAAAACUCGAUCAAGGUUGCUCAAACAAUCAUCAAAAGAGGAUCCAUAGACGGAGAAGUCAUCCAUGAAUACCUCACAAAUCUUUUCACAAAAAUCAGAGAAUAUAGCCAUCAUGCAUCUUUGAAAGGUAGCAGGUGCAUUACAUAAACCAAAAGGCAUACGUCUAUAAGCAAAAGUACCAAAAGGGCACGUAAAAGUAGUUUUAGAUUGAUCCUUCGCUGACACAGGUAUCUGAGAGAAACCAGAAUAACCAUCUAGAAAGCAGAAAUGUGUGUGUUUGGAUAGUCUUUCUAGCAUUUGAUCAAUAAAAGGUAAAGGGUAAUGAUAUUUCUUAGUAGCUUUAUUUAACUUACGAAAUCAAUUACCACCCUAUAAACUGUAAUAAAUCUUUGCGGGAUCAAUUCAUCUUUAUCAUUAGGAACAACGGUAUAUCCAAUAGCAACUCGGUGCUUCUUCAGAGUUUUCAAUAAUCUUUCUUCUUCUUUCUCUGAAAGGUUAGCACUAAUAAUAAUAGGAUAUAUUUCUUUUUCAUCAAGAUAAGCAUACUUAAGAUUAUCGGGUAAUUGUUUGAGUUCAAACACGGGAUCACCCUUGGGUGGAGGGGAUCCCCAAGAAUUUCAACGGGAAGGUUAUGUUUCAGCACAGGUUCCUGUUUAAGGAACACUUCAUCUAUCUCCUCCCUUUCCUUCAUAAACAUAUCGUUUUCAUGGUCUAGCAAAUAUUAUUCUAACGGAUCAGUUGGAGGAACAACAAUGGAAGCAAGACCAAUAAUCUCAUCCUUACUAGGUCGUUCCCUAUCACGAGGUUGUCUACUAAACUUAGCGAAAUUAAACUCAUGAGACAUACCAUCAAUGCCAACAGUGACAAUAUUCUUUUCACAAUUAAUCUUAGCACUAGCCGUAUUCAAGAAGGGUCUACUAAAAAUAAGGGGACAAAAAUCAUCUUGUGGGGAACCAAGAACAAGAAGAUCAGCAGGGUAUUUAACCUUCCCACACAAAACUUCAACAUCUCUAACAAUCCCAAAGGGUUUAAUGGUAUCCCUAUUAGCAAGCUUAAUAGUAACAUCAAUGUCUUCUAAUUCACUAGCACCCAUAUCAUGCAUAAUUUCUUGAUAUAAAGUAUAAGGUAUUGCACUAGCACUAGCACCCAUAUCACAUAAGCCAUGAUAACAAUGAUCUCCUAUUUUAACAAAAAUAACAGGCAUGCCUACGACAGGUCUACGUGUCUUAGUAUCAGGUCUAGCAAUAUUGGCAGUCUCACCACAGAAAGAAAUAACAUGCCCAUCUAAAUCCUCAUCCAAGAGAUCUUUAACCAUAACAAUACUAGGUUCAAAUUAAUUUGCUCAGGAGCAGAAUGAAAUGAUAAGCAGUUUUCAGUAAGGUUUUCUCUGCAAGCACUGAAAUUGUAGGUGAUAGAGUUUUGUGAUAAGAUAAAUAGCAACGAGUAACAAGUAAAUAAAGUAAAUAAAGUGCAGAAAGGUGGCCCAAUCCUUUAUGUAGCAAAGGAUAAGCUUGGACAAUUUCUAAUAAUGAGAAAGGAGCUCCCGAGGACACAUUGGGAAUUAUCGUCAAGCUAGUUUCAUCACGUUCAUAUGAUUCGCGUUCGGUACUUUGAUAAUUUGAUAUGUGGGUGGACCGGUACUUGGGUACUGCCCUAACUUGGACAAGCAUCCCACUUAUGAUUAACCCCUAGUGCAAGCGUCCGCAAAUACAAAAGAAGUAUUGAGGUAAACCUAACCACAACAUUAAACAUAUGGAUCCAUAUCAUCCCCUAACAAAGCAACGCAUAAACUAGGGUUUAAGCUUCUGUCACUCUAGCAACCCAUUCUCUACUUAUUACUUCCCCAUGCCUUCCUCUAGGCCCAAAUAAUGGUGAAGUGUCAUGUAGUCGACAUUCACAUAACACCACUAGAGGAAAAGACAACAUACAUCUCAUCAAAAUAUCGAACGAAUACCAAAUUCACAUGACUACUAAUAGCAAGACUUCACCCAUGUCCUCAGGAACAAACGUAACUACUCACAAAGCAUAUUCAUGUUCAUAAUCAAAGGGGUAAUAAUAUGCAUAAAGUAUCUGAACAUAUGAUCUUCCACCAAGUAAACCAAUUAGCAUCAACUACAAGGAGUAAUCAGCACUACUAGCAACCCACAUGUACCAAUUUGUGGUUUUGAUACAAGAUCGGAUACAAGAGAUGAACUAGGGUUUUGAGAGGAGAUGGUGCUGGUGAAGAUGUUGAUGGAGAUUGACCCCCUCCCAAUGAGAGGAUCGUUGGUGAUGACGUUGGUGAUGAUUUCCCCCUCCCGGAGGGAAGUGUCCCCGGCAGAACAGCUCUGCCGGAGCCCUAGAUUGAUUCCGCCAAGGUUCCGCCUCGUGGCGGCGGAGUUUCGUCCCGUAAGCUUGCCCAUGAUUUUUUCCAGGGUAAAAGCGGUGAUAUAGCAGAAGAUGGACACCGGAGGCCCACCAGGGGGCCCAGGAGAUAGGGGCGCACCCUAUAGGGGGGCACGUCCUCCUAUCUCCUGGACUGGGUGUGGGCCCCCUGGUGUAUUUCUUUCGCUCAAAAAUUCUUAUUAAAUCCAAAAAGUUGUUUCGUGGAGUUUUAGGACUUUUGGAGCUGUGCAGAAUAGGUUUCCAACGUUUGCUCCUUUUCCAGCCAGAAUUCCACCUGCCGGCAUUCCCCCUCUUCAUGGUAAACCUUCUAAAAUAAGAUAGAAUAUCCAUAAGUAUUGAGAUAUAAAGUGUAAUAACAGCCCAUAAUGCAAUAAAUAUUGAUAUAAAAGCAUGAUGCAAAAUGGAUGUAUCACGGCCUCACGAAGAGGCUGCUCGAAGAGAACAAAGGUGAAUGAUACCUCGCUCAUAUAUCAUAAAGAAUAGACAAAAUUGGUUAUUCUAACGAUAAAGCGUCGUGACUUUGUAAGAGGGGCCACCACCGAAGUGGCGUCUCUGAAGAAAGCGAUGUCCGAGGCCGAAGACAAGGCGGCCCUGGAGCACAAGGAGCGCGAAAAGCAAGAUGCUAGAGUGGGCGAGGUACAGCAAGAGCUCCAGGAGCUCGGCAAGAAGUUCGAGUCCUUGGAGCAUGAUCUUAAGAUGAAAGAGUCUAAGCUUGCGAAGGCCCUUGCGAGUGUGAAAGACUUCAAGGCCGAAGCCGAAAAGGCACAGCAGGAAAUCCAGGCGGCCAAGAAGAUAGCGGCGGGUAAGACAUUCUUUAUGCAAAGCAAGCAUGUGGAGGAGACAUUUCUUUUACUUACCCGGAUUCAGAGCUCUCUAGGGGCAUUCGUAGAUCUGCCAUGCAGCGUAUCUGAUGCUGCGGAGUUCUACCGUGCCGAGGAGGGGAGCUCAAUGGAGAAGCUGUUCUGGUCCCAGUAUGCUGGAGCCGAACACCCAGUGCCUCUGAGUGACCAACUGAAGCAGUUGGUUGAACUCCACAUGGCGGUCGAAGUGGCUAUCAAAGAUUUCAUAGUCCGGAUGUGACCUGGUGAGCCCUUGCCUGCCAGCUACUUCGGCCUGAUAAAGCGGAUGGUAAACGCCUGUCCGCGGCUUGAGGUGAUCAAGUGAUUCGUUUGCAUUGAGGGUGCCCGCCGGGCCUUUGCCCAUGCGAAGGUGCACUCGGGCAAGCUGGAUGCGGAGAAGCUAGUGAAGGACGGGCCGCCGGAGGGCAAGGCGCAUCGCUGUCCCAAAAAAUAUUAUGAUGGCAUUAUGAAAGGCGCUCGUCUCGUGGCCGAUGAAUGUACCAAGGACACGAUCCUUGAGUAAAUGUAUUUCUGUCGUUGUUGUAAUAUAAAGACGAAGCUACUUGCGCUAUAUAGCGCUUUUUGAUUUAAAAUAUUACCUUGUGUGCGGCUGUUUAUAAAAUUCUGAAAGUAGGCCAGUCGUCGACUUCCGCCCCCACGUAACUAGUACCGGGGUGUUCCUGGAAAAACCGAGACACUCUUUAUCCAAAUUUUUGGUCCCUUAAGGAGGUGUCUGGCGCAGCGAACAAGGCAAUCGAACUAUGCGGCUUUAUAACUUUCACUUAGCCAUAGAAGUCUACAAUUUUAAAUUUCGGCGAAGCCCCAAGAAUUCAGAAAGCCGAAUUGGGGUGCUAUAUAUGCCUAAAUCGGAUGAAGCCGAUUCCUCUCCUAAAGUGGAAAAAAUCUUUAAGGAUUUUAAGACCUCUUGAACAGCGACCAGCUCUCGCCGCAUCAUGCCGGUCAGUUUUCGACUUUCUCUACUGAGGUGCUCGUUCGGAAAAACCGGGACACAAUCGCAGUAGUUCUCCCUGCGCUACCUUAGCCGAUAUAACGGAACGUAAGGUACCAAAACAAGGGAGCCGGGCAAACCCAACUAUUGACCCAAGACAUGAUUCGGAGCUGAUGCAUAUAGUGCUAUAAGUUCGGGGAGCCGCACUGUUGAAAGUGUUCGGACUUGUCUUGCCGUAUUAUGGGGCGCCGUAAGAAGCCCCUGGCAAACUGAAUGUACCAAGGUGUACGGAUGCAAUAUUAAAUAAACAUUUAUAGGAAAAAUGUGCAAAUAGGAAUAAUAAACUGACGCUAUAUAUUAUCUCCCAUUGAUGAAUAAUACGUUUAAGCGUAUAUUUACAAUGAGUGCGUUUAAGCAGAAGUAAAUAGGACUAUUUAACAUGUCCUAUCCAAGGGCGGACUGCAUGUAGGUAUAAAAAACAGGUAUAACGAUCGUGAACAGAUUCCACCUGGGUAUUUCCUUUGUGCGCAAAGCCUGUUGCCUCGUUGGUUUUCUCUCCUGUGUAAGUCCGACAAUCCGGCUCUUCUGAAGAGGCUGCCCUAAAGCAGUGUCCUGAAAGAUAAAGGGGGGGUUAUUAAAGUACGUUGCGGUUAUACUGCACUGUUGACUAAGUCACUGUUGCGCCUCCGCCUAUGCCCAUGGUAUUUUGAGUACGUAAUUGUGUACGCGCGGCACGAAUGCUGCUUUGAUGGGGCUUGAGCGGAGGGGGACUACUAGUCGCGCUCUUGGCGUGCCUGGCGAUCCUGUUGCGGGGUGCUCCGGACUCGCUUGACGGUGUUCGGGGUUGUCGUCACCGGAUUGGUGGUUUGUCGGAGAAGGCCGCAUUGUCUUCCGUCGCGAGGGCUGCAGUAUGUUCUUCUAUACGGAGAGAGCGGUCCAUGUUUCCGUUGACUGUUAUGACCCCGCAAGGUCCUGGCAUCUUGAGCUUGAGGUAUGCAUAGUGUGGUUUCACAUUGAAUCUAGCAAAUGCGGUUCGUCCAAGCAGUGUGUGGUAAUCACUACGGAAAGGGACGAUAUCGAAGAUUAACUCUUUGCUUCAGAAGUUAUCCAGAGAUCCGAAGACCACUUCCAAUGUUAUAGAGCCCGUGCAACGGGCCUCUACUCCUGGAAUUACACCUUUGAAGGUGGUUUUGGUGGGCUUGAUCCUUGAAGGGUCGAUGCCCAUUUUGCACACUGUGUCCUGAUAAAGCAGGUUCGGGCUGUUGCCGCCAUUCAUAAGGACUCACGUGAGGUGGAAUUUGUCAAUGAUUGGGUCUAGGACCAAUGCGGCUGAGCCGCUGUGACGGAUGCUAGUAGGGUGAUCCCUAUGAUCAAAGGAGAUCGGGCAAGCUGACCAUGGGUUAAAUUUGGGGGCGACUGGCUCCAUCGCAUAGACAACCUGUAGCGCUCGCUUUCGUUCCUGUUUGGGAAUGUGAGUGGCGUAGAUCAUGUUGACCGUUUUCACCUGGGGGGAAUUUCUUUUGUCCCCCCAUGUUCGGACGCCGGGGCUCUUCGUCAUCGUUGCUGUGCAGCCCCUUGUCCUUCUUUUUGGCAUUUAUUUUGACGGCCUAUUUGAACACCCAGCAGUCUCUAUUGGUGUGGUUGGCUGGCUUGUCCGGGGUGCCAUGAAUUUGGCACGAGCGCUCCAGUAUGCGGUCCACACUGAACGAUCCUUGAUUAUUUCUUUUGAACGUCUUCUUCCGCUGACCGGGCUUGGAUCCGCUGAAUCCGCCGUUGACUGUCGUGUCUUCAGUGCUGUCGCCGUUGUUCCGUCGCUUAUGUCUGUUACGCCGUGGCUUGCCGUUAUUGUCGCGGCCAUCCGAAGUGCCAGAAUGUGGCGUAGUGCUGCUGCGGGCCAACCAGCUGUCCUCGCCCACGCAAAAGCGGGUCAUUAGUGUUGUGAGAGCUGCCAUGGACUUGGGUUUUUCCUGGCCGAGGUGUCGGGCGAGCCACUCAUCACAGAUAUUAUGCUUAAAGGCCGCCAGGGCUUCGGCGUCCGGACAGUCGACUAUUUGGUUCUUUUUAGUUGGGAACCGAGUCCAGAAUUUCCUGGCUGACUCUCCGGGCUGUUGAGUAAUGUGGCUUAAGUCAUCGGCGUCCGGUGGUCGCACGUAUGUGCCCUGGAAGUUGGCGAGGAACGUGUCUUCCAGGUUUUCCCAACUGCCAAUGGAAUUUGCCGGCAGGCUGUUUAGCCAGUGCUGGGGAGGUCCUUUGAGCUUAAGGGGAAGAUAUUUGAUGGCGUGUAGAUCGUCUCUGCGGGUGAGGGAGUCCUGGAUUAGGGGGUAUCCGGAUAGCUGGACUAUAUACAUCGUCCGGACUAUUGAAGCGUGAAGACACAAGACUCAAGACUCUGUCCCGUGUCCAGAUGGAACUCUCCUUGGCGUGGAAGGCAAGCUUGGCGAUCCGGAUGUUAUAUUUCCUUCCUUGUAACCAACUCCGUGUAAACCCUAGCUGUCGGUGUCAAAACCGGCGGUCUCGGGUAGGGGGUCCCGAACUAUGCGUCUAGGCGGAUGGUAACAAGAGACGAGGGACACAAUGUUUUUACCCAGGUUCGGGACCUCUCGAUGGAGGUAAAACCCUACAUCCUGCUUGAUUAAUAUUGAUGAUAUGGGUAGUACAAGAGUAGAUCUACCACGAGAUCAAGGAGGCUAAACCCUAGAAGCUAGCCUAUGGUAUGAUUGUUGAGAUGUAAUGUUCGUCCUACGGACUAAGGCCCUCCGGUUUAUAUAGACACCGGAGAGGCUAGGGUUACACAGAGUCGGUUACAAUGGUAGGAGAUCUACAUAUCCGUAUUGCCAAGCUUGCCUUCCACGCCAAGGAAAGUACCUUCCGGACACGAGCCGGAGUCUUCAAUCUUCUAUCUUCGUAGUAUGGGAGUCCGGCGGAUAUUGAUAGUCCGGCUGUUCGGACACCCCCUAGUCCAGGACUCCCUCAGUAGCCCCUGAACCAGUCUUCAAUGACGAUAAGUCCGGCGUGCAUAAUGUUCGGCAUUGCACGGCGGGUUCCCCUCCUUGAAUAAUUCGGAGAAGAUAAUGAACACCAGGAUAGUGUCCGGCUCUGCAAAAUAAAUUCCACAUUCCAACAUAGAGAGAAUAAAAUAUACACUUAGCUCAAUCUGCUGACGUAUUAUGCAGCGUGACAUCACACCGCAGCCAAGUCCUUGUUUGAAUCGUUUUUAUUAUUCCGCCUCAGCACGUUUAGCGAAGCGGUUUCCUUGGCAUGUCUUGUCGAAGCAGAGAUCGUGUUCCCCUUAUUCCGGGAUUCUCAUCAAUACGUGCGUGGGUAACCCAACCGUGCCAUUGAUGAUGGCGCUUGGGAGAUAAGCGAGUUUUACCAGGCCGGUGAGGGACGCAUAGUUUUGUCUGCCUAUAUAUAAGGGAAAAGGAUUUACCUUCUCACCUACGCCUUCUUCCCCCUUUGCUCAUUCACCCCUGCGAACUCAAGCUCCAACGCCCAAGCUCGUGCAUCUCACCUCGACCCUUCUCCGAAUAUGUCCGGAGGGGGAGGCAAAUGGUUGGCCUCCACUGCUAAGGAGGAGGACAUCACCAAGCUGCGUGACACCGGAUACCUUUCCAGCGACAUCGCGCAUCGGCUGCCCGAUGCGGGGCAGCUCAUCCCUACCCCAGGGCCCCAUGAGAGGGUCGUCUUCCUUCCCCACUUCCUCCGCGGACUGGGCUUUCCGCUCCAUCCAUUUGUCCGGGGGAUCAUGUUUUACUACGGCCUAGAUUUCCACGAUCUGGCGCCGAACUUCGUCCUCAACAUCUUGGCGUUCAUCGUCGUGUGCGAGGCCUUUCUCUGCAUCCGGCCCCACUUCGGCCUGUGGCUCAAGACUUUCAACGUCAAGCCGAAGGUUGUGAAGGGGAUGCAAGCGGAAUGCGGAGGCGCCAUGUUGGGCAAGCUGCCCAAUGUCCCUUGGCUAGAAGGGACCUUCGUGGACUCUGUCAAGGGGUGGCAAUCGGGGUGGUUCUACAUCACCGAGACGCGCAAGCCCACAUGGGCGGCGGCCCCCGAAUUUAGAUCUGGAAUCCCUACGUAGCUCACCUCCUGGAAAGAGAAGGGUCUGCAGUGGGGUGAUCCGGUGGAGGUGACGGGACUUUGAGCCUGCAUCAAGAAGCUGGUGAGCAAUAGGCUCCGGCUCAUCGACAUGGUCCAGGUCAUGCUCCUCUGGCGGAUUCUCCCAUGCCAAGAACGGGCAUUUAAUCUGUGGGAGUUUAAUCCGGAACAGCACCAGACGUUAAGCGUGCUCUUCGACACAACGUACGAAGGCGCCUGGAGGGUGCUGUUCAAGGGCGCCGAAGCCCCCGCAUCCACGACCGAAGACCGCGGAUUCAGCUCGCAGUCUCCGACUGACGAGGUAAGUGAUUCGACCCCAUUACGGGACACUUGAAGUAAUUAGAUUGACUCUAGCGAGGUUUUUAAUCUGCCUCUUCCUUUGACAGGACUGGAUGGAGAAGGCCCAGCUGCUCAUCAGCCCGGCUCCCAUGCCAGAAGAACCAGUGGAUGCCCGCUUAGCAAGGCUGCUGGUUCCGGCACCGUACGUGGUGCCGGAGAAGAAGGCCAAGAAGGUGGCCGCGGGGACUCGAAAGAGUUCCCGCAAUCAGGCGUCUGACAACGACGACGAGGACUCCUCCCCCGAAGACGAGGAGGAGGAGGAGGAGUACUCUCUCCCGAAGGAGGGAGAGAGGAAGAGGAAGGCCUCCCUAACCGGGGCGGCCGAAGGGUCCAAGAGGGGGAGAACUAUCCCCCCGGACAGUUUCGCCAACAUCGACGUUGGCGAGGAUGAGUGGCCUCCAAGGGCCCGGCGUCCGGCAGGAUCGUAAGUAUCCGGAUCAUUUAUAUGUCGUAUAUUGUAUGUCAUCUAGCGUCCUUCUAAUGCCGCAUUGUUCCUCUAGUCCGGCCGUUGACGACCUUCCCGACUCGAUGAGCGGGUCGUUGGCGCCGUCGGAUGUAAAUUCCAUCCCGACUGCCUCUACCCCACGUGCCGAGGACGAUGAGGCAGAAUCCCACAGGGGGACACGCCAGGAGGAGGCUCCGGAGGCGCCAUCAGGCAGCCCCCUGGACUUUGUGCCGGACUCUACUCCGGAACCCAUAGCGGUUCCAGAGUCCGGCAAGUAGCCCCCUCGAAAGAAGGGCAGGACCGUGACGCCGGCGGCCUCCGUCCAACCGGAGGCACCAGAUAACCUGCUGGAGGCGCUCAAAGGCGCCUCCAUCGAGGAAGAACACCACACUCUCAUGGGUGCGGUGAUUGAGAAGGUCCAGCUCGCCAAGGGCGGGCUGACCGAAGCCUGCAACAGCCUUCUAACAGGCUUUGAGGUAAGAAGUUUAAAAUAAUGUAAUGUGAUACCGCAUAGACAGUAGCCCCUGAUGCUUAGUUCGGUGUUCGAAAAGAAAAGCCGGACUAAGGAUCUAACAAAAUAGACGCAGGGUUGCUAAAAAAUAUGUCAAUAUGGGUGUGCAGGCUGCGCUGUUGACCUCUGCCGCAUUAACGGCGGAGGUCGAGGCGCUGAAGAAGGACCUUGAGCGGUCGGAGCAAGAGCUCGGCCAUGCCAAGAGGCAGCUCAAGGAAAAAGAAGGUGAAUAACACCACUUUAAAUAAGUACCUUACAGAAAAGGGUUUCGGUUGCAAACAUGAUUAAGAAGGAUAAUAUAUGUAAUGCAGGGGCCACUAACGAGGUGGCAGCCCUGAAGGAUGCCGUGUCCGUGGCCGAACGCAAUGCGGCCACAGAACGGACUGAGCGAGAAAAGCAAGCGGCACUGGUGGCGGAAGUUCGGCAAGAGCUCCAGGCUCUCAUGGAAAAGCAUGAGAGUUUGGAGCGUGACUCCAAGACUCGAGAGUCCGAGCUUGCCUCGGCUCUCGAAAGUGCCAAGUCCGCCAAGGCCGAGGCCCAGAAGGCCCAUGAGGAAGUAGAGGACAUGAAGAAGAUAGCGGCGGGUAAGGCGUUUUUCAUGCAGAGCAAGCAUGUUAAUGUAAAUUACCGGAUACUUACCCGAAUUCGGAGCUCUCCAGGGGCAUUUGCAGAUCUGCCGCGUAGUGUGUCUGAUGCCGCUGCGUUUUAUUGUGGCGAGGAGGGGAGCUCAACGGAGAAGGUCUUCUGGUCUCAGUAUGCUGAGGCCGGCCAUCCGGUGCUCCCAAGCGACCAGCUGAAGCAGCUGGUCGAGCUCCACAAGGUAGCUGAGGAGGCCAUGAAGGGCCUCACAGUCCGGCUGUGGCCUGGGCAGGCCAUGCCUGGCAGCUACUUUGGCCUAGUGCGGCGGCUGGUCGAUGCAUGCCCCAGGCUGGAUGUGAUGAAGCGCUCCGCCUGCAUUGAAGGUGCUCGUCGGGCCCUUGCCCGCAUAAAGGUGCAAUGGGGCAAGCUGGAUGCGGAGAAGCUUCUCAUGGAUCCGCCGCCGCCGGGCAAGGAGCAUCGCACGCCGGAGCGAUAUUAUAAAAUUGUCCUGAAGGGAGCCCGCGAUAUUGCAGAGAGUGCCCCCUUAAUGUAAUCUUUGAGUGAACUUGCUGUCUAUUUAUCCUGUGCGCUGAAAACUUCGUUUAUAUGCGCCAUGAGCAACGCUUGUUGAAUUUAAAAUAUUACCUUCUGUGCGGCCGUUUGUAAAAUCUGAGAGAUGGCAAGUCGUUGGCUUCAGCCCCCAGGCUACAAAGGCUGGGGUGUUCGGUGAUAAACUUGAGCACUCUUGUUCCCAUUAUUGGGUCCAUCUAGGGAGGUGCUCAACACGACGAACAAGGCGACCGGACUUAUAAUGCUUGAACACUCUCACUUAGCCAUAGAAUUCUAUAAUUUUAAAUUUCAGCGAAGCCCCUGGUAUUCGGAAGGCCGAAUCCGGGGCGCUAUCCACGCCUUCGUCGGACAUCAUCCGGAACUUCGCUCGAAGCGGCAUGAGCCUUUAAGGACCCGAAAGAACCUCUCGAACAGCGACCAGUCUCUCGCCUUAUCAUGCCAGUCAGUUUUAGCUUUCUCCACUGAGGCGUUAACCCGGCUCAACCGGGGCGCAAUCGCAGUGGUUCUCCCAGUGCUACCUUAGCCGACGGAACGGAACGUAAGGUACCAAAACAUGGGAGCCGGGCAAACCCAACUAUUGACCCAAGACAUGAUUCGGAGCUGAUUCAUAUAAUGCUAUAAGUUCGGGGUGCCGCACUUGUGAAAGUGUUCGGACUUAAUCACACCAUAAUAUGGGGAACAGAAGCCCCUGGUGUAUUCGGCCGUACCAAAGUAUACGGGUGCAAGAUGUCAUAUAAUGAACAUAUGUAAAAGAUAACACAAUUGCAAUGAAAAGGUAAUGUACUUGCAAGAAGGAAAUGUUGCGUUAUUUAUGAAAGAAGGUCUGCUAAUAAAGCGGACUGAUACAAAUAGUGCGGUAAGCAAGGGAUUCGGACUAAAUUAACAUGUCCCCCUCCAGGGAUAAGCUGCAGACUUGGUGUAUGUAAUUGAAUUUAAUGCUCGUAAUGGAGACCACCUGAGUGUUCGUCGCAGCCUUCUUUAAUCCCUGACUGUUGCGUCGUGAGUUCGGCAAGUUCGCCGUCGGACAGGGCUUCUGGUUAAUGGAGUCCUGUGUAUGCAAAACAAGAAAAGAUAAAAAACAAAGCCAAGGGGGGCGAUCGCAUGAGCCCCUUGUGUGGUCGAGCCGCACUCUUUGGUCCUUGUGGUUAAGCCCCUCCCCUGCGCCCAUGGUAUCUCCAAAGCGUAAUGAUGUACGCGGAGUGUUAUUCUAGUGAUCAUGCGCGGGCGAGGGUGGGGGCCGCAUUGCUACGCGUGCUCUGAUCGCGCCAGGUGGUCUUGGUUGGUGUUGCUCCGGGCGCGUUUUAAUGUGUCCGGCUUUUUAAUUGCCGGACUAGAGAAUUGCCGUAGAAGGCUGCUCUGUACUUCUGCCGCGAGAGCCGCUGUAUGUUCCUCCGUUCGGAGGGAGCGUUCCGUAUUCCCAUUGACCGUAAUGACUCCACGAGGGCCUGGCAUCUUGAGUUUUAGGUAUGCAUAAUGCGGCACCGCAUUGAAUUUGGCAAACGCGGUUCGUCCGAGCAAGGCAUGAUAGCCGCUACGAAACGGGACUAUAUCGAAGAUUAACUCUUCGCUUCGG